AAUAAUUUUUUUUAUAGAGAUUAAAACAAAAUUUUAAAUUAUUAUACCUAUUUAAUAAAAAACAUAUCCUUAAUUAUGAUCAACUACAAAACCAUACAUUACUUAUAAGGUCGCUCCAUUACAUCUAUCAAAAUUCAAAAGUAUUAAGCCUCGAAAAGUUCAUUCACUUUGAAAUGACAAUGAUAACCUUUCCGUGGAAAUUCAAACAUAUUAAAAUAUAUGACUACAUCUUACGCAAGUCAUAGUCAAUCCACUUUUUCCUUCAUGAUAUCAUCCAUUUCCAAUACCAUCUAAUCAAGUUGUAAUAUAUUCUCCUUACGACAUUCAUAUGGAAGACCAUGAGCAUAGCGUCUCAAAUCUCUACAAUAAUCAUAAACUACCCACUUUGAAAGAACAUUUUUCAUUUUCCCCUUGCUUUCCAUAUCAAGACCUCUAUUUUUUCCAGCAUUAAAACCCCGACAUUUUCUAUCUUCCGUUGCAAUGCAUGCAUCGGCAUUAAAGUUUUUGAAACCAGCUAUAAAUGGAGCAUUUGAGAGAUCAAUCUUCACCUCACCCCAUCUUGUUGCCCAAGAGUCUCCAUUCCAAAGAGUUGAGUAAAUUCUCAUUGGUCUUUUUGUUGGGAAUGGAACACCAAUGCUUUGUCUAUUGAGCAUCACUCUUAUAGGAUUUCCAUCCACAAGAAGUCUACAAAAAUAAUAAACAUAUAUUAAUAAAAAUAUGACAUCACAUUUAAUAUAUAUAUAUAUUGUUACUUACAUAAUUCUAUCAGGGUUCCAAUCAAUGGAAUAUGUGUGGUAGUCUUCCGUUGGAUCAAACCAAAGAUAGAAUUGCAUUUCGCGACCCCCAACACCUUCAGCAUAUACAUUUGUUGAGAGAAGAUAGGGUUCACCGGUUAAAUUUCCUAAGAAUUCUAUGUCAAUCUCAUCAUGUUGUGCUCCUACAGAGCUUAGCUGCACAAUAAAAUAUAUAAAUAUUAGUAAUAGUUUAAGAAAAUUCUUUAUAAACUCCUUAAUAUAAUAAGAUAUAUGAUUUAAUCAGAAGAAGAGGACAUACAUAAUAGGCUGUGACAGUUCCUGCGGAAUUUCCUGGAACAAGCUUGAUAUCCAUAUCAAAUCUUCCAUAUAAAUACUCAUUUUUGGACACAAUGCCUGAGCCACAAUAUUCAUCCAAAGUAAGGGUCAUGCUAUUGCCAUUAUCUUUUAUAUUAACCCUUUCAUCUCCAAAAAGAUUAUCAAAAUCGGUGUUGAAAUUUCCACCAAAAACUAAUGUGCUAAAUCCUAAAAAUAUAGAUAAAAGCAAAAGGAAAUUGAAACCAUAACAUGAUGAAGAAAUCAUUCUAAUUUGUUUUCGUUCAUAUGUUUCAAAAAAUACCAUUGAUUUAUUUAAAUAAUAAAAAAAUAAAAAUGGUUUCAUUAAAAAAAAACUGUAUGGUUGCGACAGUUAGAAUAUGAUUGAUGUAGGCGUAGCUGUCAAACACGGAUUGUGUGAUGACUGCUUCACCGUAAUAUUAUUGUGGCAAUUGCAGUUUCAUUCAACUGCAAUUCCAAAUAUUUAGUUGAUAAUGUGUUUUUCUAAAUAGAGACACAGAAAGAAACAAGAGAGAGACACAAUUAGGGUUGUUUUUUUUUGCAUGCAAUGAAUGUUCUUAGAUCUUUGCAUCGCUGUCUCUUCAAUUUGACGUUGGACAAAAGGUCAAAGUUUAAAAUGGGUGGUUUCUCAAGAUAGAAAGUGCUAAACAUGGAGAUGGAAGGAUGAUGUGUGAGAAAAAAUAUCAUAUUUUUGCAUGAAUUACACCUUUUUUUUAUUUACAAAUAUAUUCAAAUUAUUGUAAAUAUCUAUCUCUUAAGUCGGGUAACCAUAUGCAACCAAAGUGUCAAAUAUAGAAACUUUCAUGUGUCUAUUGUUUGUAUUAUUAUUAGAUGAUACAUAGUACUUACUGUUUAAUAAUCAUACAUUAGCUUAAAUGUAUUAAUUAAGUGUAAGUUGUUAUUUUAAGAAAAAUAAGGUAUCAAUGUGUUAUAGUCUACUCUAUUAAAACAAUCAUAUUAUUAUGAUCUACUAGCUCACAUAACUAAGAAGUGAAUACGAUGGGAAAGUAUUUUCCUGCCGUCAUCCAUCUCUCUCUCUACAAUUCUUUUUUUUAUUUUUUAUUUAUUUUUUGAGAUAAAGCUAUAUAAGAGUGAAAAGUUGUUGAUUGAAAACAACUUCAUGGUCGUUGUUGAACCAUUGACUAAAAACUACUGCAAAAUAUACCAUUGCUAGUCUGACGGUUAAUUGCAGUAAUAUCUUAAUUUUUGACGUGUUUUAUUUUUUUAUAUUUACAAAAAUACAUUGCAUUAUGAUAAAAACAAUAAACUGUGAUUAUAAAUUUAUGGAGUGAGAGAGUUCAAAUUCUAGCUCCAACAACAUUCGACUUUUUUGUUACAAUGAGUCUUGUCUUUAUAAUAUGAUAUAUGUAUAUAUAUCAAAAUUAAAAUAUCUAUCACUAUGGUUGAUAAUGUCAACCGUUGUAAAAGGCAUUGCAUUUCAUCACAACCGUGGUGAAAUUGUUUACCCAUAUAUAAGUGAAUUAAGUCUCGCUUCUUGACAGUAUCGUAGUAUUUCUCACAGCAAAACCCUAACACACAUUUUCUCUCUUCUUCGUCAUUAGCUUUCCUAUUCUACAGUAUAGCCUCAAUCUUGUUCUUGAUACAUAAAGGUAUUUCUCUUCUUCCUUAUUCUCCCGUUUUCGUUUAUGUUGUUGUUAUGUUUCACAUGAUUUUCUUCUUGUUCGAGAGUUUAUGUUUUUUUGGUUUUGUUGUAUGUUUCACAUGAUUUUCACAUAAUUUUUAUAUUAUUUACUUUGGUUUCGUAUGUUUUGUUGUUGGUGUGGAUAUGCUUUACUCCGAUUUCAGAUCAUUCUCUCAAAAUGAAUCAAGAUCAAGCUAGUGGGAGCAAACUUGUCAAUAAGAUUGAGGCUUCAAAGGAGGUUAUUGAUAUGCUAGAGUUAUGGUUGAACAAAGUCAAGGAAGUUGGAGUUGUUAGUGAUCACAUUAUUGUUGUUGAACCGUCUGGUGGAACAUGUUAUAAGAAGAUUCUUAUAAAGAAUCUUAACCCUUAAAACAUAAGGAAGGUAGAGCCUAUUGUGAAGGAUCUAAUGAAUAUGAAUGCAACUGAUUCUGAAUCAGAUGAAGACCAUGAGAACUACACGAAUUCAAUUAGGCAUGAAGAUUGAAGAUUGCUCUUUAUGUAUCUAUUAGAUUUUAGGAACAAUUAGUUAUCAAGUUCUCUUAAUCUAUGUUAAUUAAUUGAUGUUUUUGUUGAUAAAUAAUGUUAGUGAGUUUAUUAUAUCAUAUGUGAGUACAAUAAACUCGAAUUCAUUUAAAUAGAUUUUUGAGACAAUAAUUAAAAAAAUUAAAUUAUUCUUGAAAAUCAACUUAGAGAUCUAAUGUUUAUCGAAUUUUAUUCAUCUUACAAUCACGAUUUUUUUCUUUAGCCCGUAGAAUUAGAUUCAAUGCCAAUUUUUUUUCAAAAAAGUGAUGAUAAAUGGAUGUCAGUCUGAGUAUUUAACACAAAAUUUGAUGUUUACAAAAUAAAAUAGAAAAAAAAUCUAUUUUUGUGUAAAAGACUUAGAAGACAUCCAUUCAUCAUCAUUACUUUGAAGAAUUAUGGAUUGAAUCAAAUUAUACGGGUUACUGAGGAAAUCAUGAAUUACAAGAUGCAUGGAAUUCAAAAAACAUUGGACCGUUUAAGUUUUUUUUCAAGAAUAAUUUAAUUUUUCUGAUUAUUAUCUCAAAAAUCUAUUUGAAUGGUUGUAUAUGGUUAAUAAGGGGCAGAGAAAAAUAAGAAUUCCCGUAUUUUAUAAUAAACUUUUAUACAUACCAUAACGGUUGUUUAACAUAACUGUUGUGAUAGGUAGCGCGCUACCUAGUUUAUUACCACGGUCACACACCCAUGAUGAUAACCAACAUACAUACAAUCACACGCUACCAAACAAUGGACGUGCAACCGCCAUUAUAUGUGUUUCAGAAUCGUAAUUAUAUGUGUUUUCCGUUGUAGUGGUUGUGACUACACCAAUUUUUCAAAUGUAGUGAAUCAUGGUCCCAUAUUAUGACUCAUUCAUUGAGUAGUUCUUUCACCUAUAUGAGUCGAGUUAUGAAUACACUAGUGUCACACCCCGAUUUUGAUCCUGAAUUUUCGUUUUAAUACAUUCAGCAUAGCUAUUGCAUAUCUGCAUAGCAUAACAUGCAUUCCAUAUCAUAUAAUGCUUGGAAUAUCAGUCGAAAUAAAUUUUUGGAUCUAUAGGAAGAUCAGUUGAAUUAUUUGUCAAAUGUGUGUCGAAAUAACGAGCGAAAAAUUUCAAAAUCAAGCUUGCAAACAUUAGUUUUAUUAAUCUAUGUUUUGCGUAGUUUAAUCUGGUAUGAUCGACUUAUUUUUCGGCUAAUUAUUCGAUCACAUUUUGAUCCGUCUGAGCGUUUUAACCGAGCGUUUUCCAUUUGAAAAAUUUGACGAAAACCUGUAUGUUUUCAAGAAGUUUAUUUCUCACUGAUCAUUGCAAUGCAUUUAUUUUAUUUUUUCAGGACUUUUGCGCCCAACUUUUACUCAUCUUCGAUCAUUUUAUUUUUAUUUUUUUGUCAAAGUGUUCGAAAUAAUUAAAUAGAAUUUUAUACCCUCUCAUUUUACUUUUAUCAUUUUUAUUUAAGAAAGUUUGAUUUUUAUUUGUUUUAAUCGAUUUAAUUUAUUUUAGAUCUUUUAAAACAUCUAGAAAGGGCAACUUUGGCAUUUUAAUUUUAUGAUCAAUAUAUGUUUCUUUGUUUUGAUCCUAGCUGUUAGAUUCGAUUAAUCAACGGUCCAUAUUUUGCAAUCCAUUUGUAUCCGCCAAUCUAAUAAUUUGAAAAUAAGAAAACAAAGAAAAAAAACGCCCCACUAAAGUGAAAAGGCGUGAACAACUCGUAGGAAUUUGAGGAAAAUCAGAAUAUUUUUGCUCCACUCACACAAAUCCCUGAGUCCCAAUAUCUUAUGGGAUCCUUUGUAAAGAUGUUGAUCACGUGGAAAAGGGGGGCAAACCCUCAUUUCUCUCCAUAGCAGGCGUACCACAAGGCACACAUACGUGUCAACUCAUUUAUGGAUUUUGGCUUGAAAUAAUCAAAAGUAAGAAGACAUUGUUUUCAAAUUUGGAUAAACAUAUGGCCACACCAAUUCAAAGAGGGGCCGCAAAUUAUAUAAUGACAUCUAUAUUGGUUAAAGAAAAAGGACUGAUUGGAAAAAAAGAGACUUUUUUCAUUCAUUUUUUGGACGACCCAUUCUUUUUUGGUUUUUAGAAGAAAAAAUGUAAAGAAAGCUUAGUCUUCUUCUUCUUAAAAAUCAUUUUCCAUGUUCGAAAUAGCAUAAUCCAAUAACCAUUUUUCCCUUCCAGUUUUCAUCUUUUUUCACACUUUCCUUAAAACCCCUGCAUUUCACCAUUCAAACUCACUUUCCUACCAUAAUCUCUUCCUACACCCAUAAACCUUAACUGCAACUCAUCAACCUCAACUUACCACCUUGAAAUUUUCGUUCUGCCACACCACAACCAUCCUUCACCACAUCUUAACUCCUUCAUCAUUUUUCCGACAAAACCCUCUCCAUCAUUUCUACCACCCUCAAAAAUCACGGAUAACCACCGAACAACUCAUCUUCUCACUCUCGUUAACGCGUCAGAUCUCGAUUUGUUUCAAGUCGAACUUUCUUUUACUUGUGUUAACAUUACGUUUUCACGGAAGAUUUUUUCCCCAUGUUUGUUUUCAAAUGUUUGAUGGUCAUUUUGGUGAAGAUGAUUGAAUAAUAGCACUUUGAAGAAGAUGAAUAUGUGUGCAUAAAAAUUCUACUACUGAGUGUUUAGUUUAGUUUUGUUUUAUUAUUAUCAACCCAUUUUCCUUUUAUAUAUAUUGAUAGUUGCAUUAGAAUAUCAACUAGUUGAAUCUGGUGGAGUGAUUGAGACCUUGGUAUCCAAACCACCAGGUCUUGGGUUCAUCACCAGGCGCGUCUAUUUCCUUUAUUUUCAUGUUUUUCUUCAUAUUUUCCAUUUAUACAUAAUAUCAUAUAAUAUAUAUUUAUCAUUGCAUAUAUUUGAUAACAAUAGGAUCAUGGGAAGAAUGGCUGAAGCUUCAUGCCUCCCUUUCCCAUGUCUUGGGUUCAAUCCCUUGUUGCCAUUUUUCCUCACCAUUUUUCCAUUUUUCUAUUCUUUUUCACCCAUUUUUUGGUUUUCUUUCACAUUUUUUUAACCAUCCAAAUGUUAUUUUCUUUCUAACUUUUUUAUGCCUACGUCUUAUUUGUGACAUUGUCUUUACAAUUUAAUUUUUGUUUUUAUUUUUUCUAUUUUAUUUCCCCCGAUUACGACUGUUGCAAAAGUGCCCAGUGAACAUUUUAAAAAAUGCGAUACUUGUUAGAUUUUUGUUUGGUUUCUUUGAUUUUAUUCAUGGUUAAGCAUCAAACUUUGAUUUAUGGAUUUGACACUUCCCAUGUUGUUAUUCCACCGAUUAUUUGACCAAUAUAUUAAUGGUAUUUCUCCGUGUUUUGACUCUUCGCCUACGAUAUUUCCAUUGUUAUUAUUAUGCGCAAACCAGAUUUGAGCAUAUUACCUAGGGUUUUGCUUGCACCUCUCAAUUUCUUUUGAUUUAAUGUUUGAACGUGUUAUAAAUAUAACUUGUUUGUUGCUAUUUGCUUCACAUGGUUUACUCUUGGGCCUUCUUACAAUGAGACCAUCCUCUCGCACCUACACUUAUUCAUUGUUUUUUUGGGCUCGAUUUAAUCGUUUCAUUAUCUUGUAUCCCCAUUCGAUAAAAUGUACCCUCAUUCCCAUGACGUGUAAUAAUUUUUAUCUCUUUAUUUCUUUGUUUACUUGCUUGUUUAGUUAGUACUAACACGAUAAUAAAAUCAACCAUUUCUUAAAAAAGAUCAAAAAUAAAAACUCGAUCCAACGUUGAGUAUUAUCCCAAUAAAAAUCAAUCCAUCUCAAACUCAAUCCAUGUCUAUCCAUUUAAAUCUUUCAAACCAUUUCACUCAAACUCUUUCUCUAUCGAUCAUCAAAUGUUUGAUCCAACAUCAAACCAUUUUUAUCAUAAAAAACACUUAACAUUUAUUCAACACUUUUUCAAUAAGAGAGAUGAAAGGAACAUGGUGUAGUCAACGAGCUUCUGAGAGUUAGAUCCGAGAUGUAGAUCUCGUCAAUCCAAACUCUCAUCAUCCUCAAAUAAAUUCCACAACGCCUAAUAAACCUCGACUAGUUUCGAGUGCGCUUUAUCAAGCAAACUUCAAAAACAUAUAAAAAUAUCAAAACUCUUUUGUAAAUAAUAUGAAAAAGGAGUGGGGUGUAGUCUACGAAUUCCUGAGAGUUAGGAAACGAGAUGUAGUUACCGUCACUCCGAACUCUCUCGUUUUAGCAUGAUUAUUCCUAACUUCUAUACCAGUCUCAUUCUCAUCAUUCAUCAAAACUUUCACAGAUUCACAACUACUUUCUUUUAUGAACAAUCCUUCUUCUUCACCCUUUUUUACUUCAACACCAACCGUCAAGUUCUUACUCAUAAUUCUUGCAUUAAUGAUAUGAUCACUUCCAAAUAAAUUACCUAAUCAUAUUGUUAAGCCAAUUGACAAUAAAGUCUGAUCCAAUCUUUAACCAGAAAGUCUUCCAAAACGCAACAGUAACGACCUGUUGCACAAGGCUCAAAUGUCAUACCAACAUGUUGUGACAUCUUGUCAAGCAUGUGUCCCUUCUGCACCUUCAUACAACUUAAGCAAGCUAGAUUAAUAUUGAACACGUUGAACACUUCUCCAUGUUUUUUUGUACAAAAUGCAAUCAAUCCAAAAGGAACAACAAUCCCCCAAAUUAUGGAAAAACAAAUUUUAAAGAUAUAACACUUAUUCAGACCAAAACAAGUUACAGACUUCAGAGCAUACAAUCAUCAGCAACAAUUUUCAUCAUAGUUGAACACAGUAGCGAAAAAUCAGUAGCAUUCAUCAUAAAUGCCACACGAAAUAAUGCUCUAGAAUAAAUCAGGAAGACAUACAAUCAUUCACAACUUAGUAAUGCAUGGAACUCAAUCAACUUAUAGUUUGUAAUGCAUGGAACUCAAUCAUUCAUCAUUCAUCAAAACUUUCACAGAUUCACAAAUACUUUCUUUUGUGAACAAUCCUUCUUCUUCACCCUUUUUGACUUCAAUACCAAACUUCAAGUCCUUACUCAUAAUCCUCGCAUUAAUGAUAUGAUCACUUUCAAAUAAAUUACCUAAUCAUAUUGUUAAGCCAGUUGACAAUAAAGUCUGAUCCAAUCUUUAACCAGAAAGUCUUCCAAGAUGCAACAGUAACGACCUGUUGCACAAGGCUCAUAUGUCAUACCAACAUGUUGUGACAUCUUGUCAAGCAUGUGUCCCUUUUGCACCUCCAUACAACUUAAGCAAGCUAGAUUAAUAUUGAACACAUUGAACACUUCUCCAUGUUUUUUUGUACAAAGUGCAAUCGAUUCAAAAGGAACAACAAUCCCCCUUUUGGAAAAUUAUGGAAAAAGAAAUUUUAAAGAUAUAACACUUAUUCAGACCAAAACAAGUUACAGAUUUCAGAGCAUACAAUCAUCAGCAACAAUUUUCAUCAGAGUUGAGCACAGUAGCGAAAAAUCAGUAGGAUUCAUCAUAAAUGCCACACGAAAUAAUGCUCUAGAAUAAAUCAGGAAGACAUACAAUCAUUCAUAACUUAGUAAUGCAUGGAACUCAGUCAACUUAUAGUUUGUAGAAUACAACCCUACUAACUAACAAUUAUCAUCAUGUAAUCAUUCAUAUACUUAGUCAAAGAAAUAUUCACCAAAAUUGAUUUUGGCCUUGGUCCCGAUUUGAUAAAUCAAUUUAGCCAAGCCAUAUGACAUGCUUGAGCGGUGGUUGGUAGGUGUCGCUACCGGGAUUUCACAAUAACGAAAACUGGGACUUAAAGAAAUACCAAAGGGAGGUAAAAUCAGAAGAGUCACCACCGAAUUUUAUUUAUGUGCCUCUAUCAGGGAGGUGAGGGUAAAUAGUCUAUAAAAACCUCAAAAAAGAGACGCGCAUGUGAAGCGCUAAGAAAAAGGGAUAAGGAAUCGGUCUCGUGAUAGAGACUUGGGUUUAGAAGUCGGUUACGCAAGGGGAAGGUAUUAGCACCCCUCACAUCCGCGGUACUCCAUGGGAACCAUUUGGGUUGUUUACGUAUGCGGGGAUUUAUCUUGUUAUUGUUUUAUUUUCUAUAAGAAUGUGUCAAAAGAGAGGGAUUUUUAGGUUUUUUAUUAUUGUACUCGCCAAGGAUUGUGGCCCUUGUGCCUACGUAUCACUCAUCACGGAUGAGGAAUCAGAGCCAUAGUUCGGAGUAGAAAAUGUUUGUACGUUGGUUGAUUUUACCUUUGAAAAAAGGAUUUUAGGGAUGGGUGCUUUAAGGCACAAAAAUUAGGUUUGAUGAGUUAUGUUGAAUUUACCUUGAACAAGGGUUUAUGAAAAGAAUGUUUGGGAUUAGAUUGCACUAAAGUCUAGGGGAGAAGGUGAAUAUUCUAUACAACAAGCCAAGCAGCGUCUUGCGUCCAAAAUAAUCAGAGUGAGGGUAGGAAUGCUCCAUUCUAAUUCAUUCUCCACCACUUAAGGCUCAUGGCGCACAAUGCUAAUCAUAGUUAUUAAGUGUUUUAAAUUUGACUAAGAAAAAGCCAUUUGACAUUGAAUCAAAGGUUUGUUUAUUUGAUUAGGAAAUUUGGCUAAUGCAAGAUGAAUGCAAAGUAACCAAUAAGAAAGUAAAGAGUCUCAUUGUAAGGUAUACCAAGAGAAAGUCUUGUGUGUGAAAAGAGUGACCUAAGAUAAACAAAGAAUAAUGGUCUUACAAGCAUGUCCCCCUAAGGUGGUUCCAUGAUGCCAUUCUUACAAUCGGAAUGUAAGUACAAAUGAAACCCAAAGUUCACAAAGUAUCACAAAGAUAAUGGAAAAGGACUCCAAGAAAAGGUCCUUGGAUGAGAUUCUCUAAGUACAAGUGGAUUAAGUGAAAUGGAUUGUUUUUGGUCUUAUAAUUUUAUCAUGUUUAUGUUGUUUUUAAAUGUAAUGAUAACAAUAAAGUAAAGACAAAUGACAAAGUAUGCAUGAUGAGUUUGUACAAUGAUAAUGAUAAUGAGUGCUUAAAUGUAAAUUACAUAAAAGUAAAUAAAAAUGAAUAUAACAAUGAUAAUAAUAAUAAUAAAAGGUUAGUUGUAAUCAAAAGUUAGUAAAGUUAGGUUAAGUUAGGAUUAUGAAUAAUGGACCAACACUUGAGGAUUAUCUAUCCUUAGGUCAAUAGAUACAAAAUAUGACGCAUUAAGGGAAUACUUAUCAAUUGAUGCAAAUCAUGGAAGAUGAUCAAUGGAUCAACUUACCAUAUAUUUAUAACAAUGAAAGUUAUUCGACCCUGAGUCCAUCUAUCAAUAUAUUGACAAAUGGAAGACUAUGCAAAACUCAAGGUUGAAAGCUUAAUGAUUUGUUAAGUUUUUAAGUUAGUGAUCGGAAAAAUAGCAAGUGUACUAUUUUGCCAAUGUAGUAAUAAUAGGGAACUUUCCAAAAUAGCGAUCUCGAGGACUGCGUAGUAAUAUCUAGUUUAAAUCGUAAUUCAAUUAAACAAAAACAGAAGUUUUGGUUUAGAAUAAAAAAUCCGUACAAUGAUAAAAAUAAGCAGAAUGUAAAAUAUGGCUUUUUCACAAAUAUGAGAAUUAUGCUAGGGUCAGGUGUGUGAUUUUUCCUUGUAAUAACCUUGAAUUUAGAUCUCCUCAACAAGUUCAUAUAUUCAAUUACCAAAUCCUAGGUUUGUUUCCUCCUAAAACCUUAGAGGGAAAUCUUCGGUCAUUCAUCCUAUUAUCUAAGUCCUUAGAGAACUAUGAUGAAACCAAGCCAUUGUUUUAUCAAGAUUUACCUGGUAACUAUAGGGUAUCCCUAGUCCUAGGUGGUAUCUAAUAUAGCUUAAUCGUGCAAAAACCUUAACAAUUGCGGUCCAGCUAAUUGUUAACCAUAGAACAAUCCUUAUUUGUCCGAUAAAGAAAGCAUUAGAAAUAUUGCAUAAUUGAAUUGAAUAACAAAAUAUAAAAUUGAGGGAAUUAGGAAUUCAAAGUCAUUACACGAUCAAAUCAGGGAUACCCCCUAGCAUGGGGGGUUUAGCCGCUCAUAAUAUUCAAAGAAAAUAUAAUAUUAAAAUUAGACAUUACAAGAUAAGUGGAUUCCGUUGAUCUUCAAUCGUGAUUGCUCUUGAAGAAUCUCCGUUCUCCGAAUCCAUUGACAAUACCAAUCUUAAUCGUCGAAUUUUUUUGUCGUGAAAAAUGUCCCUUAUCUUUUCCCAAAAAGUAGUAUAAAUAGUCACUAAUCGAUUAACAGAUGUAGCGAAUACCCAAAUUACCCUUUGGAGUCAUAAACUAUAAAAAUCCAAGAAAAUCAAAAGAUGUAGCGUCCAAGCCAACACGGUGGCUCACUAUUUCUCUGCUCAACUUCUCUAAGUUCCAGGCUUGCUGACACGGGCACCCGUGUCAACCCACUGUUUUUCUUCUCAACCUUUGGUUUCAUCCUUCUCCUGACACGGGUCGUGUUAGGGCCAUUGUAUCCUUCAAAAAUACUUCUCUGCGAGUCCGAAACGCCCGAUUUCCUUGCACGAGUCCUUUGGGAUUUUUGCUUGAAUCUGAAAACAAAUAGAACUACCAAGAGAACGAUAAAAUGUAAUAAACAGAUAUAAACUAAUAAUAAUAACAAAGCGAGAAUGGAAGUGCUAACAUUAAACUUAACUUGAAAAACUAAUAAGAAGAUAGAACAAAGUGUUACUGAUUUCACGGAUUCAUGCCGAAUAAGUGACAGAAAACUAGUAGAGUUGGUGACCGAUCACAACCCCAAACUUAUCUCAUUGCUUGUCCUCAAGUAAUGCUCGGGACAGUAGGAAGGUCACUCCCAAAUUCUUCCAAUUAAUCUUACCAUAAUACUUCCGUAAUCUUUCGCGGCUCUCUUUUCACUUUUCUUUCACAUUUUCCUUCUUCCUCGACUUUUGAGGUUCCACCACACUUCCACAUCGAAGUACCUCUUCACCUGUCAGCUUUUAACACUCUCACCAAAUCUCUCCGGAUUAAAGUGUUUACACUCAAUAGUCAGAGCAUGCAUAGUCAACUCAUAAGUUUGAAUAACAUCUAUUUUCAUCUCAAACACACACCACACACACUAUUUGAGGGCUUUUAUGGUUAUAACGGGGCUUAGGGGUAAGGUGGGAGAAACAAACAAAAGGGAAAAAUGAGUGGUUUUACGCUCAGAGUCCGUGUUGUCACUCUCGUCAAUGUGUUCUUUGCAUUGUCCACAAACAAGAGUUUUGGACACCGUUCUAUUUGGAUUCUUUAGUUUUUUACUCAAGUGUUUCUUUGAGCUCGCUUUUCAAAUUUUUUCAAACUAAAUUCUCCUCUAGGUAAGUGCUUUAUUCUAUUUCUCAUUUUUUCUCUUUUUUUAAGCUUUUUAACUUUUUCUUUUUAUCUUUUUAUCUUUUUCGAUUUUCACUUAUCUAGUUCUUACCGGUGUCCCAACCCCAAACUUAGAAUUUUUUUCACAGAUAAAAAAUCCACAACACUUAUCUGAGCAAGGUAAGGGAGUGUUUGGGCUUAGGGUUAAUUAAUGCGGUUAAUAAACAAACAAAAGGGUUAUAAGGCUCGAGAUGGGUGAACGAAGGAUAAUAUCGAAUGGUUGACUGGAAAGGCUCGGGGUUAAAAAGCAAACAAGUUCCUUAGUGUGUAUAUGUGUGCAUUGAAAUUUCAACAUCUAAUUACACAAACUAAGAGUGACCGAGACAUACCUGAAGAAUUCUCAUGAUGAUACAGUGUUUGGAUUUUUAUGAUCCUCACCAUGUUUGGUAUAUCUUACAAGUUCCAAGAUACCUCUAGUGUGAUGUAGCUUCAUCUUCGUCUCGGGUGCAAAGUAUUCCCAUAUCUGUCUAGUGUCGGAAAGUCACGUUCGAUCACCUACUUCAGCAGUACCAACUUUCAGGGGUUUCCUGGAAAGCAAGUAUGGGUUGUGUCUUUCAUCCACUAACUACAAGCCUCAUCAUUCAUCCUAUAUAAAUACCCUCGAUCUGUAACACAUGAAAUAAAAAACACACCUGAUUAAAGUGACAAUAAACGGGCUGAAAAUGAAAUAAUAGAAAUAAAAAUACUGAAAGUAAUAAACCCCCCCGCCCCCCAUAAUUGAACCAAACAUUGACCGCAAUGUUUAAGUCCAAGAUAGAGAGGGGGACUCACAAAGCCUCACUGCGGGGAGGAAAUUGCAACAUUAACUGUUGCAUCAGUGCAUGCAUCCCAUCCAUCACCGUUCCCUGACAUGCCUGCUCAACUCAUUGAUGUGCCUGCUCCGCUUGAAGGUCACAAAUCUCGAUCUGUAUCCACUUCCAUUGGUCAGGGCUCAUAGAUGAUGACCCGGCAUCUGUAUGAGUGGUCUCCUCGUGUGGAAGGACAAACUACUCUUGCUCUUGUGCAUCCUCCUCAUGCUGGUCACCUGCAACAAAAGUCUCAGCAUUGCGCUCGUCCAUAUCAUCGUGGACGACACUCUCGUAUAACCAGUUAGCAGUUUCAGUAAUGCAUAUCCUAGCAGGGUCAGGAAGUGCCAUAGUUAACUGGUUAGAACUCAUCACAACAUAAUAAUAUGAAAUUUGAGAAAUCAUACCUUGCUGAACUAGAGCAUUCAUGUCCAGCUUAUUCUUACUUGAAAUCGAUGUCUCAUUUAGGGCAGCAGGGUCGUAGCCAAAAUGGUGGGCUAUCUGUGUAAUUAUACCCCCAAUGGAGAUUCCUCCCUAAGAAGCUCGGCCAACUCUACCUAGGUAGUCAGCUGCAAAUGCAUCAACACUCACAACAAACCUAUUCUCCAUGGAAAAAAGAAAGAACUACUCCCUCUGGGUAGCUACCCCAGUACUAUCACCCCUACCAAAGAGUGUGAAAGCUUGCAUCUUUUGGGCAUAGCGAAAACAGGGGUUCUGAAUCCCCGAUGCCUUAGCACCCUUUGCCACAUAAUCAGGUAGACUUGUGCUGGCUGACCAUAAAUCCUUAGUGUCAAAACUAUCUGGAACAGCUCCAGGACCAUAAAGGGGUAAUCAGAGAAUACCGCCUAACUGCUCAACCGUUAACUCAUGAUCAACGUUAUACAACCUGAAUGGCAUAGUACCAAAAUAGUACAUCUUGGCCCAUGUCCACUCUUUCUUCAAUUUAAACUCAAUUGUGCUAAAAGAAUCCUGGGUUAUGCGCUCAAAAGUUGGCGCUUCACAAUGCACAAAUUCUAACAUGCCUAGCACAUGAAACAUUAUAUCUAUUUCUUCAGACAAACCCAAUUGAGAUAGAGUGUCAGAGCAUAAAUACCUUGUUGGCAUGAUCUUACACUUAACAUGAGAAGAAUAACGCCUCUCAUGCUCGGGGUUAUCAAAGAUGAUGUUGUGAGCAUUGGGAUGGCGAAUGGUUCUCUUCCGAGGCCUCGACGGCUCAACAUCUGCUUGCUUUCCCUUAACAAUUUGUCUUGGAGGCAUAUUUGGUACCUCAACAAAAAUUUGAGCAAAAAUAAAAUAUGGAGUUAGUAGAAAAGAUUAUGGGUACAUUGUAAAGGGCGAAAAAUGGAGCAACUUUUAUGAAGGGAGUAAGCGGUUUGGUUGGGUUAAGGUGAUAAAGGUUUGAGAUUUUAAUGGUGGUGGCUAUGGAGUUUUUGAGAGAAAGAUAAGGAAGAAGGAGAGUUAGGUGGAAAAGAGAGAGAAAAAUGGUGAAAAAAUCUGAUUAUUAGAAGUAAAUAUGAGUUAAGAGGUGAUAAUUGGGGUAAAACUCAAGUGGAGUCCACACAAGGGGAAGACCAAGCAAACAAUUUUUGACCACGCGCUCCUUGACACGGGCCGUGUCCCUUGACACAGGCGGCCGUGUCAGGCUUCUGCCCCCCCCCCCCCCCCCNNNNNNNNNNNNNNNNNNNNNNNNNNNNNNNNNNNNNNNNNNNNNNNNNNNNNNNNNNNNNNNNNNNNNNNNNNNNNNNNNNNNNNNNNNNNNNNNNNNNNNNNNNNNNNNNNNNNNNNNNNNNNNNNNNNNNNNNNNNNNNNNNNNNNNNNNNNNNNNNNNNNNNNNNNNNNNNNNNNNNNNNNNNNNNNNNNNNNNNNNNNNNNNNNNNNNNNNNNNNNNNNNNNNNNNNNNNNNNNNNNNNNNNNNNNNNNNNNNNNNNNNNNNNNNNNNNNNNNNNNNNNNNNNNNNNNNNNNNNNNNNNNNNNNNNNNNNNNNNNNNNNNNNNNNNNNNNNNNNNNNNNNNNNNNNNNNNNNNNNNNNNNNNNNNNNNNNNNNNNNNNNNNNNNNNNNNNNNNNNNNNNNNNNNNNNNNNNNNNNNNNNNNNNNNNNNNNNNNNNNNNNNNNNNNNNNNNNNNNNNNNNNNNNNNNNNNNNNNNNNNNNNNNNNNNNNNNNNNNNNNNNNNNNNNNNNNNNNNNNNNNNNNNNNNNNNNNNNNNNNNNNNNNNNNNNNNNNNNNNNNNNNNNNNNNNNNNNNNNNNNNNNNNNNNNNNNNNNNNNNNNNNNNNNNNNNNNNNNNNNNNNNNNNNNNNNNNNNNNNNNNNNNNNNNNNNNNNNNNNNNNNNNNNNNNNNNNNNNNNNNNNNNNNNNNNNNNNNNNNNNNNNNNNNNNNNNNNNNNNNNNNNNNNNNNNNNNNNNNNNNNNNNNNNNNNNNNNNNNNNNNNNNNNNNNNNNNNNNNNNNNNNNNNNNNNNNNNNNNNNNNNNNNNNNNNNNNNNNNNNNNNNNNNNNNNNNNNNNNNNNNNUUUUUUUUAUUACUUACUUAUAAUAAUAAAUCCUUAUAUAUUUUGUAAAUAAAAUCUAAUUGACCAUUUUUCUAAUUGAAUAAUAAUAAUAAACCUAUUAAUCUAAUAAUUUGAUAUUUUCUAUAAUCUUUAUUUAUUUUGUAAAUAACUAACUUAAUAUUUUUCAUAUAACUCUUUUAUUUUAUAAUUUGUACAUUAAUGUAUUUUAAAUUCUUUUAUUAUUACUAAUUUAUUUUAAACUCAUAUUUUUCUAAUAACUUCUAAAAAAAUCUAACUUGUUUAACCUAAAAUAAUUUCUUUUAAAAUUCUAACCUUUUUAUUAUCACUUUAUUAUUAUUGUUAUUUUAUUAUUGCUUUAUUACCAUUGUUUAUUUAUUAUUUUAUUAUUAUUUGCUUUUAUCUAUUCUAUUUUUGCUUCAUUAUUUUCCUUAUUUUAAUUUUGUUUUAUUUAUAAUAUUAGGAACAAAUGUAUAGGUUGUAAAUUUAUUCUUUCUCGCCUGAUUAUUAUGUAUCUAUCACAUAGCCAUGUAAUAGUUAGGAAUUUAUUUUUCUUGCUUUUAUUUUUGUAAAUAUUUAUUGCGUAGUUAGUAAUUUAGGGAGUGCAAAAAACUAACUAUAAAUAAUUGAACUUAGAAAAUUAAAUUCAAGACAAAUAUCCGAAAAAUAACACUCACACACGUAGGUCGAUCUUUGAUCGCCAUCUGUACUUCCUAGGGUAUUCCUCUUGGUUGCCUUCUUUAAAUGGUCAAGUCCCUCGAAAAUAGGGGGUGUCUUAAGCAAAGUCCCUUCAAACCGAAAAAUCAUCAAGUCCCUAUAAACUUAAAAGAUCAAGUCCAUACGAGGUUGCCUACGAUAUAAUGAUCUUGUCCCUUCGGUAAAUAUGAUGAUAGUCCCUACGAGUUGCUAAAGACACCCCUUAUGUUGCCUUCAUUGACCAUACGAUGACCCUACGCCCGUCCCUUAAACACAUCCAAGGUAAUGACUACCUAUUCCUUAAUAAUAGGGACAGUCUUACCAUUGAAAGAAUAUACGAGAACACGAAAGACUUAAUCUAGGGUAGGUAUCUCAUAGUUACUUGCUCACACUUUUCAAAAUUACUUUUACACCUCACAAUUUCUAAACUAGGCUUUGUAUACACCCAUACGAGGGUCAUUACAAAGUACUUAAAGAAAUUUUUCUAAUCACACACUACACUCUUGCAAACAAACAAAGUGAGCUAAGUAACUAAGAGCCCAUGGAUAACCAUGGAUAUAAAGGGUGCUAAUACCUUCCCUUUGUAUAACCUACCCCCCGAACUCAAAAUCUUUUUAAGGUCUUUCCUGUUCUUUUAUGUCUUUUCCUUUUGGAUAAAAUAAAAGUCGGUGGCGACUCUUGCUAUCCGCAACAUUUAACUAAAGUCAGUUCUCCCACCGUGUUACAGGGAUCCCUGCGCGAACCUACAAGAAACUAAAACACACCCAAACAAAGGAAAUUGUUAAAAAUAAAAAGCGUAUGUUGCCUCCCACGAAGCACUUCAUUUAGCGUCGCAUGGCUCGACGGUCGUCCAUCUUAUCCUGUAAGAUGAACAUUGUCUAUCAACUCACUCUCUUGUCCUUUGUAAUAAUGCUUCAAUCUUUGUCUACUCACUUUAAAUGUGUCCCCGUUAGUUUGAUUUUUUAGUUCUAUCUCUCCAUGGGGAACACUAUGUGAACCAAAAACGGACCGGACCAUCUAGACUUCAAUUUUCCAGGAAAAAGUUUCAACCUGGAAUUAAACAAUAAUACCAACUGUCCCUCCACAAAUUCCUUUCUUAGGAUCUUCUGAUCAUGCCACUUUUUUGUUUGCUCUUUAUAAAGUUUGGAAUUCUCAUAAGCCUGAUUCCUAAAUUCUUCUAGCUCAUGGAGUUGAAGAAUUCGGAAUUUACCAGCUUUGACAAGAUCAUAGUUCAAGAAUUUGAAAACCUAAAAUGCUUUAUGCUCUAACUCGAGCGGAAAGUGACAAGCUUUACCAUACACUAACUAAUAGGGGGACAUACCUAUAGGAGUUUUGAAUGCUGUUCUGUAUGCCCACAGUGCAUCUUCCAGCUUCACUGCCCAGUCUUUUCGAGACGCACAAACAGUCUUUUCAAGGAUUUGCUUUAUCUGCCUAUUAGACACUUCAACCUGGCCACUCGUUUGAGGAUGAUACAGGGUGGAAAUCUUGUGCUUAAGAUUGUACUUCUUUAGCAUAUUUUCCAUCAACUUGUUUAAGAAAUGGGUACCUUCAUCACUGAUAAGUACUCUUGGUACUCCAAAUCUUGAGAAAAUAUUGUUCUUAAGGAAAUUCACUACAACUCUGGAAUCAUUAGUGGGUAACGCUACCGCUUCUACCCACUUUGACACAUAAUCCACUACUACCAAGAUGUAACUCUUUCCAAAUGAGGGUGGAAAUGGUCCCAUGAAGUCUAUUCCCCACACAUCAAACAAUUCCACCUUCAGCAUGGAGUUCUGCGGCAUCUGAUUCCUCUUAGAAAUAUUUCCUGUUCUUUGACAUCUGUCGCACUCCUUUACCAUGUCUUGGACAUCUUUGAACAGUGUAGGCCAAUAUAAACCUGACUGGAGGACUUUAGCUGCAGUUCUGUCACCACUAAAGUAUCUUCCAUAGUCCGAGUCAUGACAAGCACUAAGAACAUCUCUUUGUUCCUCCUCUGGGACACAUCUUCUGACCAAUCCAUCUACUCCUCUCUUGUAUAGGAAUGGGUCAUCCCACAAAUAGAACCUGCAAUCAUGUAAAAACUUUUUCUUCUUGUUAGAAUCAAAAUCAUUAGGGAUUACACCACCUACUAGAUAAUUCACAUAGUCUGCGAACCAAGGGAUACCAAUAACAUCGAGGAUGUGUUCAUCAGCAAACUCAUCCUUUAUUGGUCUCUUGUUUUCCGUUUCUUCAAUUGGCGACAUUCGAGACAAAUGAUCGACAAUAGUGUUUUCACAUCCCCUUUUGUCCCUAAUUUCCACAUCAAACUCUUGGAGGAGCAAGAUCCAUAUCAGAAGCCUCAACUUAGAAUCAUGUUUAGCAAAUAAAUAUUUCAAAGCUGAGUGGUCAGUAUAAACAACCACCUUAGAUCCUAAUAGGUAUUGCCGGAAUUUAUCAAAUGCAUAAACCACUUCUAAUAACUCCUUCUUGGUAGUUGCAUAGUUCAUCUGCGCAGGGUUCAGCACAUGACUAGCAUAGUAAAUAACAUGUAACAGCUUCUCUCUCCGAUGUCCUAAAAUUGCCCUCACAACAAUAUCACUGGCAUCGCACAUGAUCUCAAACGGGAGAGACCAAUAUGGGGAAAUCACAAUUAGUUCUGACACUAAUUUGUUUUUUAAUGUCUCAAAAGCUUCAACACACUCUUUAUCAAACACAAAAGCCUUAUCCUUAACCAAUAGAGUGGUUAGAGGUUUGGCUAUCUUAGAGAAAUCUCUUAUGAACCUGCGGUAAAAACCCAUAUAUCCUAAGAAACUCCUUAUACCUUUUUCGUUUAUCGGAGGUGGAAGUUUUGAUAUCACCUUAACUUUUUCUUGGUCAACUUCAAUUCCCUUGUAGGAAAUUUUGUGACCCAACACUAUACCUUCUCGCACCAUGAAAUGACACUUCUCCCAGUUCAGGAUCAAAUUCGUUUGCUGGCACGUGUCUAAAACAAGAGAGAGUUUAGUCAAAUAAUUAUCAAACGAAGACCCAAAGACCGAAAAAUCAUCCAUGAACACUUCCAUAUGCUUUUCAAGCAUGUCAGCAAAAAUGGAAGUCAUGCAUCUUUGGAAGGUAGCUGGUGCACUACACAACCCAAAUGGCAUUCUUCUGUAUGCAAACGCACCAUAGGAACAUGUGAAUGUUGUCUUCUAUUGAUAUUCCGAAGCAACCGCAAUCUGAUUGUACUUGAAGUAUCCAUCUAGAAAAUAGUAGUAAUCAUGACCAGCUAGCGUUUCCAACAUUUGAUCAAUGAAUGGCAAAGGGAAGUGGUGUUUCCUUGUCACAAUGUUUAACCUCCUGUAGUCAAUACUCUCCAACCUAUAACCGUCCUUGUAGUAAUUAACUCAUUCUUCUCGUUUUUGAUGACGGUGGUUCCCCUUUUUUUGGGCACCACAUGCACCAGACUCAUCCAUGAGAUGUCAGAUAUAGGAUAAAUAAGACCAACAUCUAACAACUUCACCAUUUCUUUUCGAAACACUUCUUUCAUUGCUGGGUUAAGUCUCCUUUGGGGUUGGACCACUGGUUUAUGAUCAUCUUCCAUGAGAAUUUUAUGCAUGCACACCGUAGGGAUAAUACCUUUCAAAUUCUCAAUUUCCCAUCCGAUAUCAUUCUUGUAUUUUUCAGAACUUGGAUGAGUUUCUCUUCUUGGAUAUUCUUGAGGCUUGAAUUUUAUAUAACUGGGCAUUUACCUUCGGUAUGGAGGAAGACAUAUUUGAGAUUCUCGGGAAGUUGUUUCAACUCCGUCCCGUUUUUGGACUCUUUAUUCUCUUUUGAUGAUUGAGGUUGCCUUAGAUCUUCCCACCGAAGUGGUCGAGAUCCUUUCCAAGGAGGUUGUGCCUCCAUCAUGGCUAGCACUUCUGAUUCUUUGUUGUCAACUUCUUUAUCACUUUCAAAAAUGGACAAGCUCAACACUCUUUCCAAAGGUAAUUGCAGUGCAUUCAAAGGACUAUCAAAUGCAAUUACUUGAUCUAUCACCUCUAUUGUAUGACUAGUGCCAAUAUCAUCUUUGUAUUCCAUGGUGUUUCGAAGAUCAAUUUUUAAUUCCUCAGCAUAGACCUUCAAAGCCAUAGUACUUUCCUCUAUGUCUAUCAAACACCUCCCCGUCUCUAAAAAGGGUCUCCCAAGAAUGAAAGGAAACUCUUCAUCUUCGGGCAUCUCUAGAAUCACAAAAUCCACUAGGAAUACAAACUUAUCAAUCUUCACUAGAACAUCCUCAACUAUCCCAUAAGGUUUCUUGACCAAAUGAUCGGUAAAUUGAAGUGUCAUCUUGGUGUCUUGCACAACCCCUAUACCCAAUUUCUUAUAAAUGGAUAAAUGUGUAAGACCCUAAUUUUGACCCUAAGAUCCCUCAUGCAAUUUCAUCAUAAGCAUUAGCAUUGGGAUCAUACCUUGGCACCCUCCUUACCCCUCUUUCCUUGGGUUUGUUUUGGGAGAGAUCACCAAUCUCUAUGUGAUUGUAUCAUACUUGUAUAUUAUCAUUUUACUAACCAAAACACCAAAAAUAUAUCUUUGUAUUUGCCUAAAUCUUUUGUAGGUAGGGCAUGAUCACUAUUGAUCUAUCAAGUUCAUAUCCAAGGUUUGAGACCCUCAUGACAAAGAGCACAACCAUGAAUUGAUCCAAGAAUGGUUAUGAGCAUCAUAUAUGAGUUCCAUUAUAUUGAUCAAGUUUUCUUCAAGAGUUUGAAAGUGAUUUGCCUUGGAAACCCUAGUUUGACUGGGUAUCUUAAGUAACUUCUCCAACAAGAUAUCUCACCAAUUGAUCAAAUUUCUCAAGGUACACUUCAAAAUUAAUCAUCUUAUGCAUAUAUGAUCUACCAUGAACCAAGAAAGUCCAAAUAAUCGAAGGUUAGCAAGUUGGUUGAUGGUGGUUGGCCAGAUGAAUUCAUCUCAUCAAAACUGGGUCUCCCUAGACCCUAUCUCCUACAAUUUUCACCAUAUGAAAAUUAUUCUAAGAGAAAAGUUACUCUAAAUUAUAUUCCAAACAACUUUCAUGUUGAUACCUAGAGCUAGUUUUUCUUGGAAAAUCAUUUUCUAUGUUGAAACAUUAUAGGUCAUUUUGUCUAAACCCUAAUUUGAAAGUCAACUUCCCAAGGACAUAACUUGCUCAAUUUUAUGAUAUAAAAUAUUUCCAAGUUGUACAAUAAAAUUCAAUAUGUCUACUUCAACUUUGAUAUUUGGAGUGAAAUAAAAUUCAACUUUUAUGAGCAUGUGAUAUGAGGAUACAUUAUAGGUCAUUUUUGACCUAUACCAUUGAACAAGUGAUUUUUAUCAACUUCAAAAAUGCAUAACUCUAUCAUUAUAAAUCAAAAUAACAUGCUAUUUGUGACCAUUUUGAAGGUCUUUGAAAUACCUACAACUUUGAUGAAUACACUUUUCUCAUUUGAAGCUCACAUAAAGAGUUAAGCAAGGUGGAAUAUUGAGAUAUAUGGCUUGACACUUAGAAAAUUUUUCAACAUGUUGAAAUUUCUAAACUUCCACCUCAAAAUUCUCCAUGUUCCAAGCUCCAAAUGAAAAAGUGUUCAACAUCAAACUUGUUCCCCUAUAUCCAAGUUUUCCAAAGAACCCAAGUUCAUGCGUUUUGGACAAAGAUUGCUAGGUCUGUGUAUGGCUUUAACAGGGUUGCAUCAUUGGAAAGAAUAAAUUGUACAAACUUCAGUUCAUAAUGCCUUGCCAUUCAAGCUUCAUUCAAACUUCAAUUUGAAUCAUUUUUGGACCUUAAUGCAUUGCAUCAUCGGGUUGUACAUGCCUAUGCACUCGUGCCAUCCACAUUGCCAAUUUUGGAUAGAUUUUGAAGUGUGAAAAUAUCAUUCCCUUUGGCUAUAAAUAGAAGGCUUAUGAGCUCAUUUGAAUCACACUUUGCGCGCCAACUUUGCCCCCAUUGAAACCCUCUCAUUCUAAAGGAAAACCUGAGAGAUUUCAAUUUGAAAUUUGAGUUUGAAUCUCAACUGUUGGAGAUUCAAGAACUCCAGGAUCCACAACCUUGCAACCUCUCUAAUCACUUCCUAUUAGCUUCUCAAGUGUGAUCAGAUCGUGUUUGAAGCAAGCAACAUCAAGAAUUGCAUAGUGUUGAAGGUAAUUUUCAGAAAACUUCAUCUCUUCGAUUCUCACUCAAUUCUACUCAAUUCUCUUGGAUCCUUGGCUGUCUGAAGUCCUACAAAUGUAGGCAAAAAGAUUGAGUUGCUUAGAGGUCAAAUCGAAGCAACUCAGUUGACACACCUCAAAAUUCAACUCCUCAUAUUUUUUUUAUAUUUGGAGUUAGUUGAAAUUGAGGUCAGAUUCGUGCUCUACGUCAUUUUUUCUUUCAGAUCAUGUCCUCCUUUUUUAUUUUAGUGAUGGUUGAGGGUGGACCAGUCCGGUGAGGUCCACCGGAGAAGAAGACCGGAGCUACAACUCCGGCCGUGUGUUGGCACGUCUUAAACCAUAUGAUCCUUGCAAAACAUUUUAAUUUCAAGCCAUUUACUCUAAUGUCAUUUAAUUUUAGUCUUUAUUCAUUUUCCAUUAUUCAUACCAUUCUAAUUGUUUAUGUUAAUGCAAUUUUCACUUUGUUCACUUGGACCAUAUUGUGUGAUAUAUUCCAUUUUGUGUAUACUUUGUUUGUUUGUGUGGUCUUUGACCAUUAAUGUACAUAAUAAUAACAAAAAUCCUAAAAACUUUUAUGUGGACUGUUAACUUGAUCUUGGACAAAUGGACUUAGAACUUAGGCAACAUUCCUAUGCUAAAGGACUUGGCCAAUGCCAACUUUUGUGAAAACCAAGUGAUUGCAAUUUGAAACUUCAUCUGAUACAUCAUUCAAGAUCCCUUUGAGUUCAUCUACAACUUAAUCAUUGUGAAACUGUUAUUUUGAACCUGUGACUUGUGGAAUUCAUCUGUUACAUGGGCUAAUUUGAAGAAGAUCAUGGAGUGGCUAAGCUUGGAUGUGGCUAUCUUUAUUUGAUGCCGUUCUCUUCAAGAUUAAUAUAAUUGUGCAUUUGUGUGUUGCUUGAUUCUAAAUGUCCAAGGGAAUCUGGGUUUCUAUUGACAUUCUUGUCUAUUGGAUUGCUACCCAUUGGUCAGAUCUUUUCAACUCUUAACUUUUAAUUAUGACAUUCUUGUCUAUUGGAUUGCUACCCAUUGGUCAGAUCUUUUCAACUCUUAACUUUUAAUUUUGUGCAUAGGAUUAGUCUCUUCAUCUUCUCCCCAUUUCUUAAAUUUCAAAAUCUCUCCCUCCUUUUAAAAUUUUCUUUGUUUGAACUUAUUUUGUUCUAUACUUUGACCACUUUGCAAAAAGAUAGAAACUUUGGCCUUAUGCCAUUGCAUUUUCAAACUUCUUUUUUUAAAUCAAAUUUGUAAAUAAACUUAACUAUAUUUGACUUAAACUUCCAAGAAAGGCCAAAAAGAACUAACUCAUUCAAACCAUUUUUAGGCCUUUGUACCUUUCAAACAUAGUUUUUGUUAAAAGCAAUGCAUCCACUUUGAAACUUGUAUCACGAACUACGAGGUUUUGAUCCCUCAUUUUUAUGUUGGUACGUAGUCACAAGUCCGAAGGUCUUGUCAAACACAAAAAUAUAAUUAAUGAAUUCUUUUCUCAUCCCCCAUUCUAUUUGUUUGUAAACAUCAUUUUGUACCAAAUACAUAUGCACACAAAAAGGGCUCCCUAGGAUAAUUAAUGAAUUCUUUUCUCAUCCCCCAUUCUAUUUGUUUGUAAACAUCAUUUUGUACCAAAUACAUAUGCACACAAAAAGGGCUCCCUAGGAGUACCUAUGACACUUUGGGUGCUAACACCUUCCCUUUGUUUAACCAACCCCUUACCUAUAAUCUCUGACAUUUUAUUAGUUUUGAUUUGAAAACUUCUUACUUUUGGGUUUUGUUCGUACUUUUCCCUUUUCCUUUGGAAACAAUAAAAGCGCGGUGGCGACUCUGGUUUUGUUGAUGUCUAGCUCAUCCAUAGCUUGAUGAUCAUGAAUUUACCGCUAUAGGAAUUAAGUAGCGACUCUACUGGGGAUGUGUAGCCUCCAGUGGGUUUAGCCUACUUUUUGUGUGUAUAUAUUUGUAUAUAUGUAUGUGUGAUAUAAUCUGCUUGUUAUGCUUGGUGAUCUCUGAGUGGUGAGAUAAGUUCUAACCUGAACUUGAGUGCAAUUAAGAUAUGAGGAUGGUAUAGUCAUGUUCGACUUGUGUGGAGUAGUCCUUAACAAGUUGGUUUGAGAUCCAUAUGCUCAGUGGAGACCCUUUUGGAUUUGGAAAUGUCACACAAGUAUUUGUGGUUAGGCAUUACUAUCUCUAAUUUGGGUCUGAGAAGCGGAGGACCGUAGAAUAUUUACCCCUCUUGGACUAUUUAGGACGUAGUGCGGAGGCUGUUCACGUGUAGACUUGAUGACAGUUGUUACACGAUACUACACUCAGACGAGUUUCUCUUGAGAAUAUUAUGGGUCGAUGAGUCAGUCAUCUUAACCUGUAAUAUCCGAUAGAUGGAAUUAAGACUCUGGGAACUUUUUUGAACAUGAUUUACAUGUUUUUAUCCUUAGUUCACUCCUUUGGGAUGGUUCUUACCCAGACUCCAUGCUCGUGACUUACAACAAACCCUUGAUUCUUGGUUGAUCCAAUCAAGUCUUGUCAAUAUUAAUGGAACUUGGGUGUUGACCUUAGUUCACUCCUUUGGGAUGGUUCUUACCCAGACUCCAUGCUCGUGACUUACAACAAACCCUUGAUUCUUGGUUGAUCCAAUCAAGUCUUGUCAAUAUUAAUGGAACUUGGGUGUUGAUAAGGUAUAAACCAUAAUCCACCAAAAUGGAUGAUUAAUCUUGACAAUGACUUGAUUCAUCCCUUGACCUUUGUUUGUUUGCCUUGUGUGUGAUCCCUUAUCUGUGAUUGUUGCAUUCAUGCACAUCAUAACAUUCAUCAAAUGAAAAUUUCAAGGAACUGAGGUAUUAUUUCCAAAUAUUUUCAGACCAUGGAUUAUGGACGAAGGAACACUAAGAAGUACAGUUUCAGAUGUCCCGACAUGAAAGGGUUAAGGAAGCUAGCAUCUUUUGUAUUAGAUCCCUUGGACUUCAAACAACGCCAUGGGAAGCUUUUGUCUAUCUUGUCUACCGAUGUGGUUGAAGGACUUUGAGUGUGCUAGUGCAGUUCUAUGAUCCUCUCUACCGUUGUUUCACUUUCCCAGAUUUUCAGCUUGUGCCUACAUUGGAGGAGUAUUCUCAUCUUUUGGGGAUACCUAUUUCUAGUAGAGUGCCUUUUAGUGGAUUAUACAUUGGAGGAGUAUUCUCAUCUUUUGGGGAUACCUAUUUCUAGUAGAGUGCCUUUUAGUGGAUUGGAGGAGAUUCCCCGAUCUAAUCUUAUUGCUGAAGCUCUUCACUUGAAGAAGUCUGAGAUAAAGGCUCAUUGGGUGAAGAAAGGAGGGUUAUUUGGGUUGCCAUCUGAUUUCCUCAUCAAGGAAGCUACUGCUUUUGCUCAAGCUGGUAGUGUGGAUGAUUUUGAAGCUAUCUUUGUAUUGCUCAUUUAUGGAUUAGCUUUGUUCCCUAACAUUGACGGUUUUGUUGAUGUUAAUGCCAUUAGACUUUUCUUGAUUGGGAAUCCUGUGCCUACUCUGUUGGGUGAUAUGUAUUUCUCUUUGUAUCUAACGAAUUCUAAGGGUGGUGGAACUAUUGUCUGUUGUAUUCCUCUUCUGUACAAGUGGUUUAUUUCGCACUUGCCUCAGACACCUGCUUUUGUGGAGAACAAACAAUGUCUACGAUGGUCUCAGAGACUUAUGUCUCUCACUAAUGAUGAUAUAGUUUGGUAUGAUCCCUCUUUGAGCAGUUUGAAGAUUACUGAUAGUUGUGGUAAAUUCUCUAAUGUGACUCUCAUUGGUACACAAGGAGGAAUUAACUACAACCCUGCUUUGGCUCGUCGUCAACUUGGGUUCCCCUUGAGAGAUAAACCUAAUAACACUUUGUUAGAAGGUCUUUUCUAUCAAGAGGGUAAAGAUCCAUCAUUGGUACACAAGGAGGAAUUAACUACAACCCUGCUUUGGCUCGUCGUCAACUUGGGUUCCCCUUGAGAGAUAAACCUAAUAACACUUUGUUAGAAGGUCUUUUCUAUCAAGAGGGUAAAGAUCCUCAACAUUUGAAGCAGAAGAUUUUGCCUGCUUGGCAUAAUAUGCAUAGGAAAGGAAGAUCUGAGCUUGGUCCACGCAAUUGUCUAGCUUUGGAAGCUUACACUCUUUGGGUGAAGAAGAGAGCUUUGGAGUUGAAGAUGCCCUAUCCUUGUGAAAGAACUAUGUCUAUGGUUGUGGUUGAGCCAUUAAUUCUCCCUAACCAAGAUAUAGAGGAGUUGGAAGACACACUCGUCAAGAUGAAGCAAGAUAAGGAUAUGUGGGAAAAGCGUUUCCGUGCUUUGAGCCAGAAGUAUGAAGAGUUGCAGUUGGAGUCUAAGGACAAAAAUGCACUUAGUGAGCUACUUGAAGACCGAGUGACAAAGAGACAGAGAGAUCGAGAGGUUUCAUCCUCUAGCAUGCCUCAGCCUUCCGUUGCUUGGAAGAAGAUUGUUGAUCAGCUUGUCCUCGAGAAGACUCAGAUGAGGACUUCUUUUGAGACCGAGAUCCGUCGCAUUCGAAGGAAGUACGCGCCUUCAGCUAGGUCUUCUGACAUUGUUGUUAGGGAUCCUUAGGAUGACUAGUCUCCUUUUCUCUUGUAUUUUCCAUUUGGUUUCUGAAAUUGUACUCAGUGUAAUCCUUCAGAUUAUAUAAAUGAAAAUAAAUUUUUGGUCAUAUAAAAAUUAUUGCAAUUGUUGAUAUAUAUAUUUGCAAAUGAUAUAGUAAGUUCCUUGAAAAUAAAAAUAAAUAAAUAAACAAGCAUUGCAUUUCAUGCAUCAUUUGCAUAAACAAGUUUCUAUUUUGCCAGAUGUCUCAUUGGUGUUUCUUCUGUGCUUUAGCCAAGCUGACUCAUCGGUACAAUACCCGCGCCAAUCAUCUGAAAUUAUGGAGCAUCUAGAGCAAGAGAACAGAGAGCUGAGGAUGAGAUCUCCCGCCUGACUGCCAUGAUGUAGUCCGUUCUUGCUGCUCAGAGCCAAGCUUCUCCAACGCCUGCAACUCCUCCUCAUCAGAGGACUGUUAUUUCAGAGGUGGCUACCUCUACCAUGCCUGCCGCUACCGCUCAUUUUGCACCCACUAUGCCUGCCGGAUUCCCGUGGGGAAUGUCAGCAAACUUUAUGCCUGAAGUCUUUGCGCCUACAUUUGCUUCCAUGCCGGCAUCUAUCCCGAUCAUGUCUGUGCCACCUCCCGUUGUGCACACCUUACCUCGUGUAGAGGAUACAAUUUAUCACUCCGAGUUGUCUGAGGGUCCAGAUGUUUAUGAGAAAAUGGAUGAAAUGAGGGAUCAGUUUCUUGAGCUGCGCAAGGAAUUGAAGAUGCUAAGGGGUAAGGACUUGUUUGGAAAGAGUGCUGCUGAGUUGUGUUUAGUGCCCAACGUCAAGAUCCCGGUGAAGUUCAAAGUGCUUGACUUUGAAAAGUAUAAAGGGAACACAUGUCCACUCAGUCAUCUAGUGAUGUAUGCUCGCAAGAUGUCUACUCAGACUGACAAUGAUCAACUGUUGAUUCACUACUUCCAAGACAGUUUGACUGGUGCUGCGCUCAGAUGAUAUAUGGGAUUAGACAGUGCAAGCGUUCGUACUUUCAAUGACUUGGGAGAGGCUUUUGUCAAGCAAUACAAGUACAACAUGGACAUGGAGCCUGAUAGAGACCAGCUGAGGUCUAUGUCUCAGAAGGAUAAGGAGACGUUUAAAGAGUAUGCACAGAUAUAGAGGGAAUUGGCUGCCUAGACCACUCCUCCUUUGGAGGAAAAAGAGAUGACAAAGAUCUUUCUGAAAACUCUGAGUUCAUUUUAUUAUGAACGAAUGAUUUUUAGUGCCCCCAGUGACUUUACCGAAAUGGUAAACAUGGGGAUGAGGCUUGAGGAAGGAGUCCGAGAGGGACGUUUGUCGAAAGAUGAAGCAUCGUCGAGUAAGAGAUAUGGCAGCAAUUUUGGGAAGAAGAAGGACAAUAAAGCGAAUGCAAUAAGAAGUGGGAGGCAGAGGAGGCCUCAGAUCAGAAGGAAUCAACCAUCCCAUCAAAAUCAUCAUCAAGUAUCUUCAAUUAUCCCUGUAUUUUCUAAUCAACAAUCAACACCAGUUCAACAACCACAACAUCAACAACAACAACCACAACAACAAGCAAACACCUACAACAACAACAAUACCAACAACAAUCAUCAACAACAAAACUUUGAGAGGAAGAAGGUCUCUUUCGACCCGAUUCCUAUGUCUUAUGCAGAAUUAUACCCGUCUUUGGUUCUCAAGAACCUAAUCCAACCAAGAAACCCGCCGCAAAUUCCAGAACCACUUCCAUGGUAGCAGAAUUAUACCCGUCUUUGGUUCUCAAGAACCUAAUCCAACCAAGAAACCCGCCGCAAAUUCCAGAACCACUUCCAUGGUGGUACAAGCCUGAGCUCCGUUGUGCUUUUCAUCAAGGAGCACCCGGACAUGACAUUGAGAACUGCUCUCCGCUCAAGUAUGAGGUUCAGAAGCUGAUGAAGAGUGGAAUGGUGUCCUUCGAGGACCGUGCGCCAAAUGUGAAAGCAAAUCCACUACCCGCUCAUGGGAACUCUCUAUGAAUAUGGUGGAUGGUUGUCCUGGCGAGUUUAAGGUUUUUGAUGUUCGUUUUAUCCGGAGAUCCUUGGUGCAGAUGCAUAAGGACAUUCGUAUGGUGAGUGAUUGUGAGCAUGACCAUGAUGGUUAUGCUGUUUGCAGUAUUAAUUGAAGGGAUUGUGAAGUUGUGAAAAGGGACAUCCAACGACUGAUGGAUGAAGGCAUGAUUCAAAUUGUUCAAUCCCGUCAUGUAGAUGACGACGUGAAUGUCAUAGUGCCCAUUUUCAAGAAGCCAGAGAGAUUGGUAAUUUAGUACGACAGCAACAACAAUAACAAUGUCAACAAUAGAUCAGUAUCGCUGUUGGUUAUACGGUUAGCGGGCCUAGUCCCAUAUUCAUCUGAUAAAGCUGUGUCGUAUCAUAUAAUGCUACAAUGAUAGAAGGUGGUCAAGAGGUCUCAUUACCUACGGCUAGCUCUGUGGUGAGCAUUGCUGAUGUUACCAUGGUGACCCGCGGUGGUCGAGAGUUUGAGCCGGUGUUCCCAAAGGAUAAGGAAGAAUCAGUUGUUGGAAAGAAGGUGGAAGUGCCUGUUGUAAAUCUAGUUGGUACUUCAAAGGGUAAGUCUAGUGAAUCCAGCGAUUCGAAGGAUAACGAUGAUGAUGAGGUACUUCGUUUGAUCAAGAAAAGUGAGUUCAAUGUGGUAGAGCAGCUGCUCCAAACCCCCUAAAAAAUCUCAGUGUUGUCUCUGCUCAUGAGUUCUGAAGCGCAUAGAGAAGCACUGCAGAAAGUUUUGGAAUAAGCGUUUGUAGAACCUGAUGUUACAAUGGAUCAAUUAGAUCAUAUCGUGGCUAACAUCACUUCUUGCAAUAAUCUUAGCUUCUGUGAUGAAUAACUCCCCGAGGAGGGCAUAAAUCAUAAUCUGGAUUUGCACAUUUCUGUGAACUGCAAAGAAGAUGCUUUGUCGAAUGUGCUUGUUGACACCAGGUCGUCACUGAAUGUAUUACCGAAGUCAACCUUGUCAAAAUUGUCAUACCAAGGGGCGCCUAUAAGGUAUAGCAGUGUAAUCGUCAAAGCUUUUGACGGUUCACACAAAACGGUUAUUGGUGAAGUGGACCUUCCAGUUAAGAUAGGUCUGAGUGAUUUUCAAAUUACUUUUCAAGUAAUGGAUAUCCACCCGACCUACAGUUGCUUGUUGGGAAGGCCAUGGAUCCAUGAGGCAGGAGCUGUUACCUCCACUUUGCAUCAGAAACUUAAAUUUGUGAAGAAUGGGAAGCUUGUGAUUGUUGGUGGGGAGAAGGCGCUGUUGGUUAGCCACAACUUUGCAUCAGAAACUUAAAUUUGUGAAGAAUGGGAAGCUUGUGAUUGUUGGUGGGGAGAAGGCGCUGUUGGUUAGCCACCUGUCAUCUUUCUCUUAUGUUGAAGCUGAGGAUGAGGUUGGAACUCCGUUCCAGGCCUGAUCUAUUACUACUGAAAAGAGAGUUGGGGUACAUAUGUCCUCAUUGAAAGAUGCCAAGAAGAUUGUUGAAGAAGGUAAUGUUGAUCAGUGGGGGCGCAUGGUAGAGGUCUCCGACAAUAAAGGCAGAACCAGUUUGGGGUUCCAAAAAGGUUCAUCAACUGCAAGGUCUGAAGAUAUGCAACUUACCUUCUGUAGCGGAGGGUUCAUUCAUGGAAAUGAACAACACUUAGCUGCUGUGCUACGGGUUGACGAAGAGGAAGACUGCACCAAUUUUGUGACGCAUGGAAAGGCAUGCAACAAUUGAUCAUUAAUAAAAUUCUAUUCAUCCACAUUUAUGAUGUUUUAUUGAUGUUCCUAUUAUUUUGCAUCGAUCUAAGUAAUUGCUUUUAUAUGUUUUCAAAAUCCUUCUCAUAUGCCUAAGGGAGAAGAGAACAUUGUUUGGGAAUUUUCAAAUUGAUCAUUAAUAAAAUUCUGUUCAUCCACAUCUAUGAUGUUUUAUUUUUACUUUUUGAUUUAUUCUGGAAAUGGUAAUCACGAAAAAACAUAAAUAAACAAUAUAAUUAUCCAUCUGCAUAAUAUUUGGUCACAAAUCCACUUCUCUAAAAUCAAAAUAUCAAAUCAUUAUGCAGGUUGGUUCCUAACCCCAUUGAUAUCCAUCUGCAUAAUAUUUGGUCACAAAUCCACUUCUCUAAAAUCAAAAUAUCAAAUCAUUAUGCAGGUUGGUUCCUAACCCCAUUGAAUACAAUGAUCCUUCUCCUUCUCCAAAUUUUGAAUUCCCCGUGUUUGAGACCGAGGAGGAAAGUGAUGAAGAAAUGAGUGAUGAAUUAUCUCGUCUUCUUGAGCAAGAUGAAAAGACCAUUCAGCCGUUCGAAGAGCAGAUUGAGUUAGUCAACUUGGGUUCCAAGGAUGAUGUGAAGGAAGUCAAGAUUGGGUUUCGACUGUGUCCAGAUGUCAAUAAGGGGUUGAUUGAUCUUCUUCGAGAGUAUACAAAUGUGUUUGCUUGGUCCUAUCAAGACAUGUCUGGUUUGGAUUCUAAGAUUGUGGAGCAUAGAUUGUCGUUGAAGCCAGAAUGCCCGCCAGUCAAGCAGAAAUUGAGAAGAAGGCAUCCUGAGAUGGCUGUGAAGAUCAAAGAGGAAGUGCAGAAGAAAAUUGAUGCUGGUUUCUUUGUAACCGCUGAGUAUCCGCAACGGGUGGCCAAUAUUGUGCCCGUUUCGAAGAAAGAUGGAAAAGUCCGCAUGUGUGUUGAUUAUAGAGAUUUGAAUAAAGCCAGUCCAAAAGAUGAUUUCCCUUUGCCACACAUUGAUAUGUUGGUAGACAAUACUUCUAAAUUCAAAGUCUUUUCGUUUAUGGAUGGAUUUUCCGGAUAUAAUCAGAUCAAGAUGGCACACGAGGAUAUGGAGAAGACUACAUUCAUUACACCUUGGGAAGCAUUCUGUUAUAGAGUGAUGCCUUUCGGUCUAAAGAAUACUGGUGCAACUUACCAAAGAGCAAUGACUACUCUUUUUCAUGAUAUGAUGCAUAAAGAGAUUGAAGUUUAUGUCGAUGACAUGAUUUCUAAAUCGAUUGAUGAAAAGGAACAUGUUGAGAAUUUGUUGAAGCUAUUCCAGCGUUUGAGGAAGUAUAAACUCCGCUUGAAUCCCAAUAAGUGUACUUUUGGUGUUCGUUCUGGUAAGUUGUUGGGCUUUAUUGUCAGCGAGAAAUGAAGCUAUUCCAGCGUUUGAGGAAGUAUAAACUCCGCUUGAAUCCCAAUAAGUGUACUUUUGGUGUUCGUUCUGGUAAGUUGUUGGGCUUUAUUGUCAGCGAGAAGGGUAUUAAAGUUGAUCCUGCAAAGGUCAAAGCAAUAUAAGAGAUGCCUGCGCCCAAAACUGAGAAGCAAGUCAGAGGUUUUCUCGGCCGCUUGAAUUAUAUAUCCAGAUUCAUUUCCCACAUGACUGCCACAUGUGCGCCUAUAUUCAAGCUCUUUCAUGAAGAUCAGUCUUGUGAUUGGACCAAAGAUUGUCAGAAAGCUUUAGAUAGUAUUAAAGAGUGUUUGCUCGAACCUCCGAUUUUGUCUCUGCCUAUUGAAGGAAGACCGUUGAUCAUGUAUUUGACUAUGCUCGAAGAUAGUAUGGGUUGUGUUCUUGGUCAGCAAGAUGAGACUAGAAAGAAAGAAUUUGCAAUUUACUACCUCAGUAAGAAGUUCACCGACUGUGAGACUCUGUAUUCUAUGCUUGAGAAGACUUAUUGCGCAUUGGCUUGGGCUGCUAAGCGUUUGUGUCAAUAUAUGUUGAAUCAUACCACUUGGUUAAUAUCCAAAAUGGAUCCGAUCAAGUAUAUAUUUCAGAAGCCUUCUCUAACUAGGAGGAUUUCCCGUUCGCAGAUGUUAUUAUUAGAGUAUGAUAUCGAAUACCGAUCUCAGAAAGCGAUCAAAGGUAGUAUCUUGGCUGACCAUUUGGCUCACCAACCAAUUGAAGAUCACCAGUUAGUGCAGUAUGACUUUCCUGAUGAAGAGAUUUUGUACUUGAAAAUGAAAUAUUGUGAUGAACCAUUGCUUGAAGAAGGACCAGAACCUGGUUCCUAUUGGGGCAUGGUAUUUGAUGAAGCUGUUAAUCAAUAUGCUAAUGGCAUUGGGGCAGUGAUUAUUGCUCCUCAAGGCACACAUCUACCAUUUACAGCUAGAUUGACUUUCAAGUGUACAAACAAUAUGGCAGAAUAUGAAGCUUGCAUUAUGGGGCUUGAAGAGGCCAUGAAUCUCAGAAUCAAAUAUUUAGAUGUUUUUGGAGAUUCCGCUUUGGUUGUAAAUCAAAUAAAAGGUGAUUGGGAGACAAACCAACCUAGUUUGGUACAAUAUAGAGAUUAUGCGAGGAGGAUUUCAACUUUCUUUACAAAGGUUGAGUUUCAUCAUAUUCCUCGAGAUGAGAACCGGAUGGCAGAUGCUCUUGCAACGUUGGCGUCAAUGAUUGUGGUGAAGUUAUAGAAUGAGGUUUCCAAUAUGUCAGUGAUGCGUCUUGAUAGACCAGCUCAUGUGUUCGCUGUUGAAGAAGUCAAAGACGAUAAGCCUUGGUAUUUAGACAUCAAAUCUUUCCUCUAAAGUUAGAUUUACCCGUCUAGGGCAUCUUUGAAAGAUAAGAAGACUUUGAGAAGAUUAGUCGGAAAUUUCUACUUGAAUGGUGAUAUACUGUACAAGAGAAACUUCGACAUGGUUUUGCUCAGAUGCGUGGAUAGACACGAAGCAGACUUGUUGAUGACUGAAGUGUAUGAAGGUUCCUUUGGUACUCAUUCCAAUGGACAUGCAAUGGCAAAGAAGAUGUUGCGAGCAAGUUACUAUUGGCUGGAAAUGAAAUCUGACUAUUGGAAGUUUAUGAAGAAAUGCCACAAGUGUCAAAUAUAUGCUGAUAAGAUUCAUGUUCCUUCGACACUAUUGAAUGUUAUUUCUUCCCCAUGGCCCUUCUCCAUGUGGGGAAUGGAUAUGAUUGGGAUGAUUGAGCCCAAAGCUUCGAAUGGACAUCGUUUCAUUUUGGUGGAAAUCGACUACUUCAUAAAAUGGGUUGAAAAGACAUCGUAUGCAAAUGUAACCAAGAAAGUUGUUGUAAGGUUUAUCAAGAAUUAGAUCAUAUGCCGUUAUGGUGUGCCAAGCAAGAUCAUUACUAAUAAUGGAUCGAACUUGAAUAACAAUAUGGUGGAAGCUCUUUGCAAAUACUUUAAGACUGCACAUCAUAAUUCUUCUCCCUACAGACCUAAGAUGAAUGGGGCCGUUGAAGCUGCAAAUAAGAACAUUAAGAAGAUUAUUCAGAAGAUGGUUGUCACGUAUAAGGAUUGACAUGAGAUGCUCCCGUUUGCUUUGCAUGGGUAUCAUACAUCCGUCCGCACUUCAACAGGGGAAACCCCUUUUCCUCUUGUAUAUGGUAUGGAAGCAGUGCUCCCCGUAGAGGUUGAGAUUCCUUCAUUGCGUGUGCUCAUGGAAGCCAAGUUGAUUGAGGUUGAAUGGUGUCAGACCAGGUUUGAUCAACUGAAUUUUAUUGAAGAGAAGAGAUUAACUGCCAUGUGACAUGGUCAGUUAUAUCAGCAGAGGAUGAAGAAAGCUUUUGAUAAGAAGGUCAGACCUCGGGUAUUCAGAGAAGGUGACCUUGUGCUCAAGAAGAUCUUGUCAUUCAAACCAGAUUCUAGGGGAAAAUGGACUCCUAAUUAACUUCCGGGUAUACAACAAUUCUCUCGGAAAAGUCCGCCACGAAACUAACUUACAACUAUGGAUGGUGAAGAGUUCACUCGUCCUGUGAAUGCAGAUGCAGUCAAGAAAUACUUCGCCUAAAAAAAGAAAAGAACAACUCGCUAAGUUAAAAACCCGAAAGGGCGGAUUAGGCAAAAAAGAGCAUCUCGGUGGAUUGAAAACCCGAAAGGGCGAUCCAGGCAAAAAUUAGAGACAUAAAAACAAAAAGAAUUUCCCGAUAAGUUGAGUACCCCACCUUGGGGCAACUUAUGCAAAAAUUGGGGAUCAUGGCAAGUAACUGCAGUCUGCUGAUCGACUAGUAUCGAAAAGACCUUAGUUGAGCACAAAGGUUGACGUCGAUUCAUAAUCCUAGUAGCGGUCAAGAGCAUAGUGGAUAUCAAGAGUUGGUAGAAGGAAUAAGGAUCAUUUGUAUUCAAUGUAACCCUUUUCCAUGUAAAUUACCAUUUUCAACUUUGUAAAAAUCUAUGGAGUCUUGUCAUUUACAGACUACCAUCCCAUUAAAUAAAAUUGAGCUUUUGUCCAAUUGUUCCUACUCUUAUUUACUUCAGCCAAUAGUUUAAAUUUUAUUAUGAUCAUUUUGGAAAUUUAAAAUUUUUUAAUCAAAAUAUUUUUUUUUCUUAAAACAUAUAAAAACAAGAAAUUUGUCAAAGCAAUUAAAAGGAAGUAUCAAUAGCAUGUUAAAGAGUAGCAAGUCCUUAAGUGCUAAGCAUCAGAGGAUCCCCAAGCAAUUAACCCUUCAGGUAUCCCUAGUUGUUUGUGUUGAUCUGGUUCCCCUACGGAGUGUUUGUUCCUUAGCGGAGUUUCGAUUCUUUCCCCAACUGAGUUGGUUGAUUCAGUACCUUGCGGCGUGUUAUUUCACCGACAGAGUUUCUGUGUUCCCCAGUGGAGUUUGUGUUUCUUCAGCAGGGUUGAUCUUCAACAAAGUAAGAUGUUUUCCCCAGUAGAUUGUGUUGGUUCCCCCCACCAGUCGCCAUCAGACUCGCUCCUAGUCAGAGUUUCCUCCUGGUUUCUGAGCAGCUAUUUGUGUUUAUUUUCUGUAUGGUUGUCUCCCAUUUGAUAUGGCGUUGACUUAAAAUUCCCUGCAGGCUCGAUAACAUUUUCCCUCCUCAACAGAUCUCCUCUUCCCUCGGCUAGAUUUGAGCCUUUGGGUUGUUGAUCUCUCUGUUCUCCAACAGUUGUCUCCCUCUCUUUGCGGAUUGACCGAGGAUUAUACUGAUGAUUCAAAUUAUUUGCGACACCUUUGUAUCCUUUGUGAUCGUUUUGUCAGCAUAAUCAUCAUAUAUAUACAUACACAUAUACAUUCAUAUAAUUUCAUAAUUGCAUAUUUACAUCAUCGUAUCCGAUUAACUUGUUGAUUUGAGAUUCUAAUUCUCUGUUAUGGAGGUACUUUAUCCCCAUACGAACUUUGGUGUCUGUCCUCCCUCAAUUGUAGAGUGUCAGCCCCUUAGGCAGAAGACUUUAACCUUUCUCCUCUUCCCCACUGAGUUGUUUCCUCGUGGAUGAUUAUUACUUCAGUUUCCUCCCUAGUUGUUUAUCUGGAUGGAAUCACUCCCCUUGAGUUAUAUCCUCAUUGGGUUGAGUCUUGAUUGACACAAAGAAAGAUCUAGUACGGUAGAUAGAUGCUUUGAGUCUCCUAAGAGCUUAUUACCCAGUAACUAGUAAUAUUCUUCUUAGUUUGCAGUUUGUUACUUCUUGCCCAAUACCCGACAUAAGUACCCCUGUUUUCCCAGUAGUGGAGUUCCUAGUGGAUUCAUUUGUUUCUGAUUCCCCAGGAAGUAUAUCCUUGAUAUGUUCAUCCUAACCGGUGACAGAUAUCUUUCUUUCCCCUGCCUGAGUCUAUCCUUGAUAUGUUCAUCUUAACCGAUAACAGAUAUUCUCAUCCUUGGUUUUCUACCCAGUAAAAAGGUAGUUGUAAUCCCUAUUGUGUUCCCCAGAGAGUUAAUCCUUGAUAUGUUCAUCCUAACCGAUGACGAGUUUCCUUCUCUUUGUGGUAUUCUACCCAGUAACCGGUAGCUGUAAACCCUACUUUUUCCCGCAGAGUCUAUCCUUGAUAUGUUCACUUUAACCGGCGACGGAUACUCUCUCAUGGUAUUCUAUCCAGUAACUGAUAGAUGUAAUUCCUAUUCUCUCCCUUCACAGAGUCUAUCCUUGAUAUGUUCAUCUUAACCGGUGAUGGAUUUUCUCUUUGAUGGUCUUCUAUCCAGCAUUCGAUAGAUGUAAUUCCUACUUGUUGUUCAGUUGGUAUAUCCUUGAUAUGUUCAUCCUAACCGAUGACGGGUAUCCUCCUUGACAGUCCCAGGAAAGUCUAUCCUUGAUAUGCUCAUCUUAACUGAUGACUGAUCUUCUUCCCUGUUGAGUCUAUCCUUGAUAUGUUCAUCCUAACCGAUGACGGAUAUUCUCACCUUUGGUCUUCCUCCCACUAAUCGGUAGUUGUAAAUCCUAUUUUCAGCAGUUUUCCCCAGCAAGGCUAUUCUUACCCAGUAACCGGUAAUGAAUACUCCCUCCUGAUAGUUCUCAGUGAGUCAUCCUUGAUAUGUUCAUCCUAACCGAUGACGAGUGUCCUCUCUGUCAGAUCUUUAUUAUCUCCUCACCCAGUAACAGGUAGUAGAUGAUAGAUUUCUGCUCCUCCUAUGUUGAAGUUUAUUUCUUCCCUAGUCGAGUUGAGUGUGCAUUUCCUUAGUGAAAUCGCUUUUCCGGCGUGAUUCAAGUACUUUAGUUUUAUCCUGACUUACUUGUAUCCCCCUGCAGAUGUUGUUGUUCCCCGGUUGAGUAUUUUCCAUGUUUGUAUGGAAUUCCUCGAGUCCCCCAAUAGUUUUAAGUCGUAGCCUGGCCUACGCAUAACUCCUUUAUCCCCUAGAGUCUCUGUCUCCCUAGUGAGUUUUCCUUACGGAAUGCAUUAUACUCCUGUGGACUUUCGGUCUCUCUGAUUUCUUUUCCUUUGUGGCAAUAUUUCCCCACAAAGAAUUUACUUUUACAUUCAUAUCAUUUGCAUCAUGAGGUCUUUAGGGACUAAAAUUUGUUUAUAUAUGUUGUUAUUUAAGCCCAUUAUACUGAGUCGACAUGAAGAUUUUAAGCUUUGCCUCCUCAGUUAGAAUGUCCUUAAAUAGGGGCAGCUGUAAGACCCCAAUUUUUACCCUAAGAUCCCUCAUGCAAUUUCAUCAUAAGCAUUAGCAUUGGGAUCAUACCUUGGCAUCCUCCUUACCCCUCUUUCCUUGGGUUUGUUUUGGUAGAGAUCACCAAGCUCUAUGUGAUUGUAUCAUACUUGUAUAUUAUCAUUUUACUAACCAAAAUACCAAAUCUUUGUAUUUGCCUAACUCUUUUGUAGGUAGGGCAUGAUCACCAUUGAUCUAUCAAGUUCAUAUCCAGGGUAUGAGACCUUCAUGACAAAGAGCACAACCAUGAAUUGAUCCAAGAAUGGUUAUGAGCAUCAUAUAUGAGUUCCAUUGAUUCCUACAUGAUAUAUUUAUCAAGUGUUCUUCAAGAGUUUGGAAGUGAUUUGCCUUGGAAAUCCUAGUUUGACGGGGUAUCUUAAGUAACUUCUCCAACAAGCUAUCUCACUAAUUGAUAAAAUUUCUCAAGGUACACUUUGAAAUUCAUCAUAUUAUGCAUAUAUGAUCUACCAUGAAACAAGAAAGUCCAAAGAAUUGAAGGUUAGCAAGUUGGUUGAUGGUGGUUGGCCAGAUGAAUUCAUCUGAUCAAAACUGGGUCUCCCUAGACCUUAUCUCCUACAAUUUUCACCAUAUGAAAACGAUUACAAGAUGAAAGUUACUCUAAAUGAUAUUCCAAACAACUUUCAUGUUGAGACCUAGAGUUAUUUUUGCUUGGAAAAUCAUUUUCUAUGUUGAAACAUUAUAGGUCAUUUUGUCUAAACCCUAAUUUGAAAGUCAAUUUCCUAAGGCCAUAACUUGCUCAAUUUUUAUGAGAUGAAAUAUUUCCAAGUUUAAAAAUAAAAUUCAAGAUGUACACUUAAACUUUUAUGUUUUGAGUGAAAGCAAAUUCAAAUUUUAUGAGCAUGUGAUAUGAGGAUACAUUAUAGGUCAUUUUUGACCUAUACCAUUGAACAAGUGAUUUUUCUCAACUUCAAAAAUGCAUAACUCUAUCAUUCUAAACCCAAAUGACAUGAAAUUGGUGACCAUUUUGACGGUAUUUGAAAGAGCUACAAGUUUGAUAAAGACACGUUUCUCAUUUGAAGCUCACAUAAAAAGUUAAGCAAGGUGGAAUAUUGAGAUAUAUGGCUUGACACUUAGAAAAAAUUUCAACAUGUUGAAAUUUCCAAACUUCCACCUCAAAAUUCUCCAUGUUCCAAGCUCCAAAUGAAAAAGUGUUCAACAUCAAACUUGUUCCCCUUGAUCCAAGCUUUCCAAAGAACCUAAGUUCAUGUAUUUUGGACAAAGUUUGCGUAUGGCUUUAACAGGGAUGCAUCAUUGGAAAGAAUCAAUUGUACAAACUUCAGUUCACAAUUCCUUGCCAUUCAAGCUUCAUUCAGACUUCAAUUUGAAUCAUUUUUGGACCUUAAUGCAUUGCAUCAUCGGGUUGUACAUGCCUAUGCACUCGUGCCAUCCACAUUGCCAAUUUUGGACAGAUUUUGAAGUGUGCAAAUAUCAAUUCCUUUGGCUAUAAAUAGAAGGCUUAUGAGCUCAUUUGAAUCACACUUUGCGGGCCAGCCUUUCCCCUAUUGAAACCCUCUCAUUCUAAAGGAAAACUUGAGAUAUUUCAAUUUGAAAAUUGAGUUUGAAUCUCAACUGUUGGAGAUUCAAGAACUCCAGGAUCCACAACCUUGCAACCUCUCCAAUCACUUCCUAUUAGCUUCUCAAGUGUGAUCAGAUCGUGUUGGAAGAAAGCAACAUCAAGAACUGCAUAACAUUGAAGGUAAUUUUCAGAAAACUUCAUCUCUUCGAUUCUCACUCACUUAUACUCGAUUCUCUUGGAUCCUUGGUUGUCUGAAGUCCUACCAAUGUAGGCAAGAAGAUUGAGUUGCUUAGAGGUCAAAUUGAAUCAACUCAGUUGACACACCUCAAAAUUUAACUCCUCGUAUCUUUUUAUAUAUUUGGAGUUAGUUGAAAUUGAGGUCAGAUUCAUGCUCUACACUAUUUUUUCUUUCAGAUCAUGUCCUCCUUUUUUAUUUUGGUGAUGGUUGAGGGUGGACUAGUCCGGUGAGGUCCACCGGAGAAGAAGAUCGGAGCUACAGCUCUGGCCGUGUGUUGGCACGUCUCAAACCAUAUGAUCCUUGCAAAACGUUUUAAUCUCGUGCGUUGGUUUUAAAUACCAUCCCUGCAACGCAUUGACUAGUGUCCAUUGUGGAACGCGCACUGAGGACUACUUGAUCUGCCACCUCAAUUAAUGAGGGAGAUCAAGUGGUCCACGUUUUUUUGCUAUUUUCUGAUUUUUAUUUUAAUCCUUUUAUUUUCAUUAAUUCAUAUUAAUUUUAAUAUUGAUCCAAAAAAUAUGAGAGUUUCACCAAAAAAUUUCAAAUAAUUUCCUCUUUCAUAUUUUGAAUUAAAUUAUUUUUGGACCAUUAUUAUAUUUUUUCAUGAUUUAAUUGAUUUGUGUGGUUUUUAAUUGUUUAAAAUACUUUUAGUCUUUAAAAUUCUGAAGUUUUUUCUCCAAGGUCCUUUGACCUUGUUUGACCUAUGAUAAAUCUCAUGGCCAUUUCUUUGGUGUUUUGAUGAGGUUUUAGGAAUUUGACAAACCAUAUUUAAUUUAAUUGUAUUAUUUUAGUCUUUUUAAUUUGAAUAAAUGUCAAUUAAUUGUGUUGACCAAUUGUGAUGAUUUGUUUGAGUUUGACUCUUGUUGUUGGGCCUUGGUAAAGGUUGAUUUGACUUUGUCAAGUUAAUAUCAUUGGAUUUAGGGGAUUGAUGGAAUGUACAUUCCAUCUUCCAAAAUGAAUGAAUGAUAUUAAUUUGGUAAAAGUCCUCCUUUGACUAAUUUGAGUUUUGAUCCAUUCCCCCCCUCUUCAUCUCAUUCCCAUUCUUUAUGCAUUAAUCACAUUUGGCCUAUGAUAUCUCAAAAUCCUAAGGCUAGUUGAUUGAAAAAUCAACAUAAGUAUGGAUGAGAUUAGGCCACCUCUUUUGCAUAUUCUUUUUGUGUGUGGUAUGUUUCAUGAGCAUAGUCCUAUGUCUCUAACAUGCAUUAACACCAAAUUCUAUUGCCCGACCCCAAAUAGUUGUGACUUCUAAUAAGUCCAAUUACGAUCCUGCUUUAACAUAACGCUAAAUUUGUGACACAAAAAGGCAUAGCAUUCUAGUUAGUGAGAUUGUAAGUCUCCCCUCUUUCAUGGUAUUGUGUGGAAACUUGGCCUUUUUUCCUUCCUUUGGAAGAUGUCUUGGCUCAAGGAUCCAUGCUUGAGAUAAGUGGGUUGAGUUUUCUCCAAAGAAUGAAAAUGAAAAGCAAAAGAAAAACAAUACUAACUUCUAACUCAUUAACAACUAACUUUUAAUUUCAAGCCACUUACUUUAAUGUCAUUUAAUUUUAGUCUUUAUUCAUUUGCCAUUAUUCAUACCAUUCUAAUUGUUUAUGUUAAUGCAAUUUUCACUUUGUCCACUUGGACCAUAUUGUGUGAUAUAUUCCAUUUUGUUUGUUUGUGUGGUAUUUGACCAUUAAUGUACAUAAUAACAACAAAAAUCCUAAAAAACUUUUGUGUGGACUGUUGACUUGAUCUUGGACAAAUGGACUUAGAACUUAGGCAACAUUCCUAUGCUUAAGGACUUGGCCAAUGUCAACUUUUGUGAAAACCAAAUGAUUGCAAUUUGAAACUUCAUAUGAUACAUCAUUCAAGAUCCCUUUGAGUUCAUCUGCAACAUGAUCAUUGUGAAGCUGUUAUUUUGAACCUGUGACUUGUGGAAUUCAUCUGUUACAUGGGCUAAUUUGAAGAAAGAUCCCUUUGAGUUCAUCUGCAACAUGAUCAUUGUGAAGCUGUUAUUUUGAACCUGUGACUUGUGGAAUUCAUCUGUUACAUGGGCUAAUUUGAAGAAGAUCAUGGAGUGGCUAAGCUUGGAUGUGGUUGUGCUUGAUUCUAAAUGUCCAAGGGAAUCUGGGUUUCUAUUGACAUUCUUGUCUAUUGGAUUGCUACUCAUUGGUCAGAUCUUUUCAACUCUUAACUUUUAAUUUUGUGCAUAGGAUUAGUCUCUUUAUCUUCUCCCCAUUUAUUAAAUUUCAAAAUCUCUCCCUCCUUUUAAAAUUUUCUUUGUUUGAACUUAUUUUGAUCUAAACUUUGACCACUUUGCAAAUAGAUAGAAACUUUGGCCUUAUGCCAUUGCAUUUUCAAACUUCUUUUCUUAAAACAAAUUUGUAAAUAAACUUAACUAUACUUGACUUAAACUUCCAAAAAAUGCCAAAAAGAACUAACUCAUUCAAACCAUUUUUAGGCUUUUGUGCCUUUCAAACUUAAUUUUUGUUAAAAGCAAUGCAUCCACUUUGAAAUUUGUAUCACGAAAUACGAGGUUUUGAUCCCUCAUUUUUAUGUUGGUACGUAGGCAUAAGUCCGAAGGUCUUGUCAAACAGAAAAAUAUAAUUAAUGAAUUCUUUUCUCAUCCCCCCAUUCUAUUUGUUUGUAAACAUCAUUUUGUACCAAAUACAUAUGCACACAAAAAGGGCUCCUUAGGAGUACCUAGGACACUUUGGGUGCUAACACCUUCCCUUUGUGUAACCAACCCCCUUACCUGUAAUCUCUGACAUUUUAUUAGUUUUGAUUUGAAAACUUCUUACUUUUGGGUUUUGUUCGUACUAGUACCUAGGACACUUUGGGUGCUAACACCUUCCCUUUGUGUAACCAACCCCCUUACCUGUAAUCUCUGACAUUUUAUUAGUUUUGAUUUGAAAACUUCUUACUUUUGGGUUUUGUUCGUACUUUUCCCUUGGAAAUAAUAAAAGCGCGGUGGCGACUCUCAUUUUAUUGAUGUCUAGCUCAUCCAUAGUUUGAUGAUCAUGAAUUUACCGCUACAAAAUGCAUGAGACUCACACUGACUCCUAAAUCAAUAAGAGAUUUUUUGAAUGACUUAUCUCCAAUGGUGUAUGGGAUGGUGACAACACCUCGAUCUUUCUUCUUUAUUGGAAUUUUCAUACCCUACAAAAUAGCACUACAAGUUCCGGUUAGAAUAAUUGGGUUUGUGUCAAUGGUUCACUUCUUAGAAAUAAUGUCCUUUAUGAACUUGGCAUAAGUAGGAAUUUGUUCAAGUACUUCCAAAAGUGGAAUGUUGAUUUCUAGCUUCUUGAACAACUCUAAUAAUUUCUCAAAGUUUUUCUCAUGUUGCCUCUUUUUCUUGUUUCUUGUGGGAAAGAGAAGCUUAAUGACCAGUUUUGGCUCAAUGACUUUUUCUUUCACUACUUGUUUAGGCAUAACCACUUCUUCCCUUACAACUUCAUUUUCUUUGAUCUCAAGAUCUACUUCAAGAGUUGAUCUUCAUCUUUAGCUUCCUCCUCAAGGACUUCGUUAGAUUUACCACUUCUCGUUGUCACAACACUAACAUGGUUUUUCUCUCUUGGAUUUGUCACAAUUGCACUUGGUAGAGCACCUUGUGCUUGAGAACUUGAGGCUAAUUGUUGUGCUAUUUGACCCAUCUGAACUUCAAGAUUUUUUAUGGAAGUAGUGGUGUUCUUCUGAUUGUUUCUAGUUUCUUCUUGGAAUUGAACAUUGUGAGCUGCCAUUCUUUCAAUGAUAAUCUCCCAAUCUGCUUUCUUUGGGGAUUGUUGUUGCUAUUGUUGUUGCUAUUGUUGUUGAUAUUCAGUUUGAUAUUGACCUUGACCUUGUUGUGGAACAUUCCCUUUCUGAUCUUUUCAUUAGAAGUUAGGAUGAUUCUUCCAACCUGGAUUGUAAGUGUUGGAAUAGGGAUUAUUCUGCUUCAAAAAAUUUAUUUCAGGGUUUGCAAAGAAAUACAUUGUUUGGUAUGGUCCAUUACAAAUCUCACAACUGACAAUAGAAGCAGGUUGGACUUGAGCUACCUGUUGAGUAGCUAUAUUCAGAGCCUUCAACUUCUUUUCGACUUCGACAAUGAUUGUAUCUUUUAUACGGAUUCUAUUAGUUUCUAGCUUCAGAUCAAUAACUCCUUCAAGUUUACUUGUACAUCUGUCAUACAACUCGAAGUUCUCAUUAACAGUAAUUGCUUCAAUGAUCUUUCUGAUACCGGUGGUUGUUGAGAAAUUAGUUGAGCCACCGACUGCUGGAUCAAUCAACUGUUUGGUCUUUAUUUUGAGACCAUUUACAAACAUCUGCAUCUGUUUUGUUUGAUCCAUAUUAUGAGUCGGACAAGCCACUAGGACCCUUUUGAAUCUUUUGUAGGCAUCUCCCAAAGACUCACCCUCUUCCUCCUUGAAGUUCAGGAUUUCAUACCUUUUUCUUAGAAAUAACGAUGCUGGAAAAUACUCAUUCAAGAAAACCUUUUCCAUCUCCUCCCAUGAUGUAAUACUGUCGGCUGGAAGAGAAUAGAACCAUUCUUCAGCCUCUUCAGCUAAAGUGAACAGGGACAUUCUUAACUUCUUUGCUUCCUCAGUAUAACCGUCAAUUUUUAGAGUGGUGCUCAUGGUCAGAAAUCUCUGCAGGUGUUUGUUUGCAUCUUCAUUUACCUUUCUAAUAAAAUGCAUUCUGUAAGUUUAAGGAGUGCCUUAGGGGGGGGGGGGGGGUGAAUGAGGCACUUAGAGUAUUUCCGGAUUUUUGACGGUUUAUAACUUUUACUUUCUGAAAUGCUUAAGUGAUGAAAAGCGUAAUGUGCGGAAGUUAAAGGACACGACGAUGGUAUAGUGGUUCCCCUCACAGAUCGAGAGUAUCUCCACUCCCCUUCAACAUGAAAGAGAAUUUACUAUCUGUUAUGACUUGUACACGACAGACACAAUCACCAAGAACAACCUCUUGUGAUUUACCAAGUUGAUAGAGAACAAUCCUCUCAAACUCAACUCUCUUGCUUCCAACAAUCCUGGACAAAAAAGUGUUUACAAAACACACAAUCUUAUUUUCAACAAUUAAAAAUAAGAUAUGGAUUACAACAAUGAUUGAAUGUAAAGUUUGUAGUAAAAUGAUCACACAAAGUGAUAUAUCAAUUUGCUUGAUCUUCUCUUCCAAUGAAAAUAAUUCACCACACAAAAUAUUAGAUUGCUCAAGAAUUUUCUGUUUUUGAAUGAUAUAAAAAUAUGCAGAAAUAUUCUUGAGUGAGGUUUAUAAACAAUAAGUGUGAAUUCUGAAAAUUAAAGAUAUUGAUUGGAAAGGUUGAAAUUUGAAUUGAAAGAUCAUGUAUUUAUAUGCACAUAACACCUCAAAUGAAACAUGGCAUAGGUUCUGAAAGAAUCAUGAACAAUUGUCAAAGAUGAAAUGAAAAGAUUCCAUGAAAUGGUGCAUGAAGAGGUGUAUGAACAACCACUGAUUUUUCAGAAACGCACAGUGUAAAUCGAUUGACAUAAUGGGUAAAUCGAUUAACUGUUGCAACGUUUAAAUUUUUCAAAACUUUCAGUGGGUAAAUCGAUUUCCCUAAGAGGUAAAUCGAUUUAUCUAAGUGAAAAAUUUAAAUUUUGCUUUUCAAAAAAUUGUAAGCAUUCAGUGUAAAUCGAUUCACGUGCUUGCGGAAGCCAUGCGGAUCUUUUAGGAAAAGUUACCUAUACCUGCUCUGAUGCCAAUUGUAGUUAAGGAGUGCCUUAGGAGGGGGGGGGGGGGGUGAAUGAGGCACUUAGAGUAUUUUCCGGAUUUUUGACGGUUUAGACUUUUACUUUCUUAAAUACUUAAGUGAUGAAAAGCGUAAAGUGCGGAAGGUAAAGGACAAACGAUGUAUAGUGGUUCCUCACAGAGCGAGAGUACUCCACUCCCCUUUCAACACGAAAGAGAAUUUACUAUCUGUUAUGACUUGUACACGACAGACACAAUCACCAAGAACAACCUCUUGUGAUUUACCAAGUUGAUAUGAGAACAAUCUUCUCAAACUCAACUCUCUUGCUUCCAACAAUCCUGGACAGCAAGGUGUUUACAAAACACACAAUCUUAUUUUUCAACAAUUACAAAUAAGAUAUGGAUUGAAUGUAAAGUUUGUAGUAAAAUGAUCACAAAAAGUGAUAUAUCAAUUUGAUUGAUCUUCUCUUCCAAUGAAAAUAAUUCACCACACCCAAAUAUUAGAUUGCUCAAGAAUUUUAUGUUUUGAAUGAUAUAAAAAUAUGCAGAAAAUAUCUUGAGUGAAGGUUUAAAACAAUAAGUGUGAAUUCUGAAAAUUAAAGAGAUUGAUUGGAAGAGGUGAAAUUUGAAUUUGAAAGAUCAUGUAUUUAUAUGCACAUAACACCUCAAAUGAAACAUGGCAAUGUUCUGAAAGAAUCAUGAACAAUUGUCAAAGAUGAAAUGAAAAGAUUAACACCUCAAAUGAAACAUGGCAAUGUUCUGAAAGAAUCAUGAACAAUUGUCAAAGAUGAAAUGAAAAGAUUCCAUGAAAUGGUGCAUGAAGAGGUGUAUGAACAACCACUGAUUUUUCAGAAACGCAUAGUGGUAAAUCGAUUUACAUAAUGGGUAAAUCGAUUACCCUAUUGCAACGUUUAAAAUUUUUCAAAAACUUUCAGUGGUAAAUCGAUUUCCCUAAGAGGUAAAUCCAUUUACCUAGUUAAAAAACUUGAAAUUUCGCUUCUGGAAAUGUAAUGCUCCAGUGGUAAAUCGAUUUCCCUAAGUGGUAAAUUGAUUUACCUAAUUGAAAAAUUUAAACUUUGCUUUUAAAAAAUAUGUAAGCAUCAGUGGUAAAUCGAUUUCCCUUAUAGGUAAAUCGAUUUACCUAGUUUGAAAAUGAAAAAAAUUAUUCUAAGUCAUUUUCCAUGCACAAUGAAAAGUUAUGCAAUAGCCAUAUGAAUACUUGAGCAUCUAAGAAUUUAGUGAAGGUAAGUAUUCUCAUUAUACCUUCUUGAGGUGAAAAGCCUAACUUCUUGAAUCAAGAUGCUUUAUCAUAGAAUAACAUCUUUGCCUUCUUGUUGCUUGGAGUUUUGUCUUCAUCAAAAACAUUCAUCAUAGAGAGGCUUGAUUUCACAUGAAUCUUUUGUAGGCAUCUCCCAAAGACUCACUCUAUUUCUCCUUGAAGUUCAGGAUUUCAUACCUUUUUCUUAGAAAUAACGAUGCUGGAAAAUACUCAUUCAAGAAAGCCUUUUCCAUCUCCUCCCAUGAUGUAAUACUAUCGGCUGGAAGAGAAUAAAACCAUUCUUCAGCCUCUUCAGCUAAAGGGAACAGGGACAUUCUUAACUUCUUUGCUUCCUCAGUAUAACCAUUCUUCAGCCUCUUCAGCUAAAGGGAACAGGGACAUUCUUAACUUCUUUGCUUCCUCAGUAUAACUUCUUUGCUUCCUCAACAAUUUCAUAUAUUCAAUACCAAAUUUUAGUUUUGUUUCCUCCUAAAACCUUAGAGGGAAACCUUCGGUCAUUCAUCCUAAUAUCUAAGUCCUUAGAGAACUAUGAUGAAACCAAGCCUUUGUUUUAUCAAGAUUUACCUGGUAACUAUAGGGUAUCCCUAGUCCUAGGUGAUAUCUACUAUAAAUUAAUCGUGCAAAAAUCUUAACAACUACAAUCUAGAUAAUUAGAACAAUCCUUAUUUGUCCGAUAAAGAAAGCAUUAGAAAUAUUGCACAAUUGAAUUGAAUAACAAAAUAUAAAAUUGAGGGAAUUAGGAAUUCAAAGUCAUUACACGAUCAAAUCAGGGACACCCCCUAGUAUUGGGGGGUUUAUCCGCCCAUAAUAUUCAAAGAAAAUACAAUAUUAAAAUUAAACAUUACAAGAUAAGUGGAUUCCGUUGAUAUUCAAUCGCGAUUGCUCUUGAAGAAUCUCCAUUCUCCGAAUCCCUUAACAGUACCAAUCUUAAUCCUCAAAUUCUUUUGUCAUGAAAAAGGUUCAUUCUCUUUUCCCAAAAAGUAGUAUAAAUAGUCACUAAUCGAUUAACAGAUGUAGCAAAUACCCAUAUUGCCCCCCGGAGUCAUAAACUAUAAAAAUCCAAGAAAAUCAAAAGAUGUAGCGCCCAAGCCAACUGGGCCGUGUCAGGAAACACGACUAACCGUGUUGGCUUAGUGUUUCUCUACUCAACUUCUCUAAGUUCCAAGCUUGCUGACACGGACCGUAUCAGUUGACACAGGCACCCGUGUUAGCCCACUGUUUUUCUUCUUAACCUUUGAUUUCAUCCUUCUCCUGACACGGGAUGUGUCGGGUGACACGGGUGGCCAUGUCAGGGCCACUGUAUCCUUCAAAAAUACUUCUCUACGAGUCCGAAAUGCUCAAUUUCCUUGCACGAGUCCUUUAGGAUUUUUGCUUGAAUCUAAAAACAAAUAGAACUACCAAGAGAACGCAUGAAACGUAAUAAACAAACAUAAACUAAUAAUAAUAAUAAUAACAAAGCGAGAAUGGAAAUACGAACAUUAAACUUAACUUGAAAAAAUAAGAAGAAGAUAGAACAAAGUGUUACCGAUUUCGCGGAUUCAUGCUGAAUAAUUGACAUAAAACUAGUAGAGUUGGUGACCGAUCAGUGAGCAAGUUAUAAGGACAAGGUAUAAUAUUAACAAGGUAAUAAGAGUUAGUGUAUGGUAUAAACAAGUAAGUAUAAGGUGUUAGUGGGUUAGCAUAAACCAAGAGAAACAAUGAUACAUCAGAUGAAAUCACAAGUUAACAAAUGCAAGGCGUCAUCCACAUGUCCAAUGACCCAAGUUGGUUGAUGUAGGGGCAACCUAUCCAUGCUCUAAAGUAUCAUGGAUGAACACUUGAUCAUCCAAAGGUAGGUUUGAAUUAUGUAAAAUUUAAUCAACCCUAACCAAACCAACAUCAUGACAAAAAAUAGAUUUCAUUGGCCCUAAGGUUCAAGACCUCAUAAGUCCCUCAAAAACUAUCCAAAUGACUUGAAAUAAGACAAAAUCAAAUACUAGAGACAAAAAUAACAUGGGUCUAUGUUGAACAUUUUUUCAGAAUAAUACAAAUAAAUGGGUUAAAAGUAAAUAAAAAUGGGAAAGAAAAUGAUAAAAACCAAAAUAAAACAAAUGAAAUAAUUAAAAAAAGGGCAUAUGCACACGUUGGGGGUUGAACCUCUGACCUUGGGGUUAUGGGGGGAUCAACCCCCUCACCCACCGGGCCAAGCGCUCGAUGGUGUUAAUAACCACAUAAAAACAAAUAAAUAAUAAACAUGAUAAAUAAAUGGGAUUUGCACGCUAACCAACCAAUCAAAACACGACAAAUGCGGGUACAACUUCGUCUUCUUCCUCGAAUCACCUAAAAAUCAAAACCUCAAAAUACAAGUUUUUCAUUGGAUUUGAUUAUGAAAACAUCUUGCAAACAUAUAUUCGAACCAACCUCCACACUUAGGAGCCAUUGAUUGGCUCUGAGUGUGGAGUAUUUUCAAAAAUAUCAGAUGAACAAGUUAACCUAAUUUAAAAAUUAAAUUCUAAAUAUGGAGUAAUCAAAGCUGGAAACUUAGGGUUAAUGAUCAGAAGAAUAUUUCGAGUUGAAUGGUAACUUGUUUCAGAGAUGGGGGUGAGUGGAACUACCUGAUCAGAAUCAAUCUCAAAGUGGAGUUCCGAUGACCUAGCUCAGCCUAGGUGAGGCUAAGAAAAGGUGAGUUAGGACUUUGGAAAGUUUGAAUGGAUGUUGGUGAAGGUUUCUAGGUGGUUGUUGGAGUUAAAACACUUUGAAAUUCGAAAAUGCAAACCCUAUUUUGGAUGGUUCAACUCGAGUAUGCAACAGGGUUUCUUUCGCUUGGAAAGCUUGGUUUUAAAGUGGAACACCUUCCCCUAUUUAUAGGGAAGGUGGUGGAGUGACUUGGAGGGAUAAAAGAGGUGGUUUGCUCAGAAAGCAUAUAUGACUUGAAGCAUGCUCGAAACCGACUUUGAGGAGAUAUGGAAUGGUAUAUUCUGAGCUAGUUUCCUUCACCAACCACUUGGUUUUGGUCCUUAUCACCAAACAGAAACAACCAAAGGCAUUGAAAUGGUCUGCUAUGCAUUUGGAUUUUAGCCAAUUUGGGGAAAAAAUAUGAAAAAUCACAUGACAUCGGGUUUCAUGAUUUGGGAGGUUUACACACCAAAAUUGACUACCAUUUGGGCCUUGGUAUGUUGCAUAACAUGUUACAAGUCAAAAGGAAUUAGAUUGAAGUGGAUUAAGACCUUGGUGAACCAAUUUGUAAAUUCUGGUUGAGGUGGGUCUGGUUUGUGCAUCAUGGCAAGUCAGCAACUUUGAACCAAGGCCAAAUGAAAUUGGUUCGUGCAUUUUGUCUUAAUUUUGUGCCAUUUGCUCCUUGCCAUGUAAUUGAUUGAAUGCAAAAAGAACCAGGUCAAAAGGGUUUACGGUUUGGAAAUGGGAAUGUGUCAAAGUAGUGGUCAUGACAUGAUUUUAGGGCAUGGUGGGCAUGUUGGACCAGCUUGGUCAAUAGAAAAUUUGAAGCCCUUCCUUAAUGAAUUAGGUCUUGGACCUUAAAAGAAAGUUGUAGAGGAAAUCAUUUAGGACAUUUGGCUCAAAGUGGAAUUCAAAAAUCUUGAGAAAUGAGAAAGUUAUGGUCUUUGGAACUUCCCAUAGGCCAUACUUGCCAAAGUGCAACCAACCAACAUGACCUAAAAAUGGGAUUUUGUGAUUUCUUGAUUUCCAAGGCACAAUGGUGGAUGUUUUGAGUUCAUAUGAUCAGACCAUGAUGGGAAAUAAUAUUUGGACCUUUGUGGGAUGAUUUUAGGUGAAGUUGAUGGGUGGAUCAAAGCAUUGAAAGUUGAAAAAUCAUGAACAAACCAACUACUUGUAACAUGGAUUGAAUGAAUGUUUAAAUGAUGGAUCUUGGUUGUAAUGGGCAUAAUUGAUGUUGUAAUGGACAUGGAUUGAAUCAAUUUCAAUGGUUUAAGGAUCCUCAAAUUAGGGUUUCUUGAGCCACAAGGUUUGUCAAGAACCAAAGCCAAAUGGAUUAGGGCUUGAGAUGCAAGGGUCACAUUGAUAUGUUUAAGAGGUAUGAGGCAUGAACAAACUUUGGAUUUAAGGAUCCCGAACAUGUCCUGAGGAAGUUGAUUCUUUACAGAUGAAUCCCAUGCCUUAAAUUUGUGGAUUAUUGUGGAUUGAUGCAUAUGAAAUGACAUGUGUGGUAUGUAUGCUCAUGAAUUAGGGCUUAAGAAGGUGAUAUGGGGUAGGGAAAAUUUGAGGGUAUGAAAACUGCCCCUAUUUAAUCUUCUCAGACCUGAAGGUAUGGAUAGCAACGACUUCAAAUACAUUCAUGGUAGGAGGGGAUUAAAUGAUAUUAGGAGUAACCAAAAAUUUGCCCGACUGGGUAUAAUAGUGAUAUGAGUUGAUUUGUUGGGGAUUAUGCAUGGUUAUGAUGAUUAUGCGUGCGAUGUGAUGUAUACAACAUAAGUAUCUUUUGAUGUUAAAACCUCAAGAAGACUGAGGGAAGAAACUCCAUUGGGGAAUAAGAAUAUCGGUAAAAGAGAGAGGGUGACUGCCCCUAGCAACGACUUGGAAGAAAAAUAAGGUAAUUCCUAGCAAUGGCUGGAACACCUAACUCUGAUGGGUAAAAUAUAGAUUCAAUGAUGAUUCCUAGCAAUGGAUAGAAUACCCGACAUCUACUGGGGAACAACCAAGUUAAUUCAGUGACGAUUCUUUGCGACGACUAUAAUACCUGAUUCAGUAGGGAAUACAAGUUGGGUUCAAUGAUGAUUCCUAGCAAUGGCUCGAAUACUUGACUCAACUGGAGAGAAAAGUAAGGUACAGUGAUGAUUCUUAGCAAAAACUAGAAUACCCGACUCUGUGAGGAAAAGAAGUUGUUUAAUGAUGAUUCUCAGUGAAGGCUGGAAUACCUGACUUGACUAGGGAAUUUCUCAAGAAGGUACAAUUACGAUUCUUAGCAGCGACUAGAAUAUUUGACUAUACUGAGGAAAAUACAGAAGUUUAGUGACGAUCCCUAGCAACAGAUGAAAUACAUGACAUAUGUGGGGGAAAGAAUCAACUAGUUCAGUGACGAUUCCUAGCAAUGGCUAAAAAUACCCGACAUAGCUGGGGAAGGAAUUCAUAACAAUUCUUUUUUAGCUAUGAAUUUUUUUUGGACUCGGUUUGGGGAAUGAGCCCAAAAUACCUUGUGUCUAAUAAAAGGGGGAAGUUCAAUGACAAUUCUUAACAACAACUAAGAAUACCUGACUCUACGGGGAAGAAAAAAAAUGUGGUGAUGACUCUCAAGGGAUAGAAGAAGUAUGAUGAUGAUUCUUAACAACGGCUAAGAAUACCCGACUCUUCUGGGGAAACUUGAAACAAAGCAGUUCAGUGAUGAUUCCUAGCAAUGGCUAGAAAUACUUGACUCUGCUUAAGGAAAUGUUUUGAGAAUGAAUGUUGACUUUACUAGGGAAAAUUCCUAACAACGGUUGGGAAUUUCCGGACUUUGAUGAAUCAAUUCGAGUAAGUUAAGGAGAUACUUAUGAUGCGAUGUUAUGUAUGCAAGAUGUCGAUGCAUGUUCGGGUUUUUGCAGGGGAAUGUAUGAAAUGUAGGGUUUGCAAGUAGCGCCAAGUAUGAUUGGGAUUUGCGGGGGAAUAUAUCUAAGGAGUGUCAAUGGUGAUUGGGAUUAAAAACUCGGGGAAAUGUACUGACUUCCUGUUACCGGAAAAUUGGAAUUUCUGAUGUUCAAGCAAGCACUAGGUGCAAUAGCUGAGGAGUUCUGUUGGGGAAGAAUUUGAUUGUUCAAGUCCAAGGGACUGUGUAGCGCAUUCAGGUUGGGGAUACCAAACGCGUUUUUGGUUUCCUUUAGAUAUUUUGAAAGCGAAGUAAAUCGAUUUUUUUCCCUUAGUUUUUUUUUAAAAAGUUUUUUUUAUCAAGAAAAUUCCGAUGGGAUAUCAUUUUGAGAAAAGGUUACAUUUCACAAAUAAAACAGGAAAAGUAAAAAUAUUGAGCACAAAAGGGGGAACUGAUUUUAUUGAUAAAUGGUCCAAAUAUGGGUAAUUUGUACAAAAAGGCAAUUCCUAAAAGAGGUGAUUGCAAAAAGAAAUUGAAAAACUAUAAUGACAAGGAAAUAUCUCGGAUUUCUACCAAAUUCCAACUCUACUAUAAUCAUCAUGUCUUCGAUCUUCCUUUGAUCUUGCUUCAGAAGGAGAGUGAUUGGAUUAACUUGCUGGGGAAACUACUAAUUGACUAGUUGAGGAGUGAAGAAAGAUUCUUUGCGGGAUGCAUCCUCUCACUUUUGCUAAAUCCCUAAUUUUUUCCUUGAACGCCCUUUUGGGUUUUCAGUCUACCGGGAUACCCUUUUUUGCAUAAGCCACUCAUUCGAGUUUUCAACUUAUCGAGCUCUUUUUCUUAAGCGUAGUAUUUUUUUACUACAUCCGCGUUCACGGGUGUAAGACCCCAAUUUUGACCCUAAGAUCCCUCAUGUUAUCUCAUCAUAUGCAUUGGCAUUGGGAUCACACCUUGACAUCCUCCUUACCCCUCAUUCAUUGGGUUUGUAGUGGGAGAGAUAACCAAGCACAUUUGAUUCUAUCAUACUUUAUUUUUCUUUGUUUACUAACCAAAAUACCAAGUAUGUUAAUGUAUAGUUUGUUGCUUUUGUAGGUAGUAUAUUUGCUCACCUAUGCUCUAUCAAGCUAAUAUAUAGGGUUUGAGACCCUCAAUGCAAGGAGAACAAUCAAUAAAUGGUUCACAUUGGCUCUAAGCAUCAUAUAUGGAUCCCCAUUAUCUUCACAUAUCAUUUUGAUCAAGAAAUCAUCAAGAGUUUGGAGUUUGUUUGCCUUGGAAACCCUAAUUCAUUUGGGUAUCUUGUGUGACUUCUUCAACAAGUUUCUUCAAUAAUUGAUCCAAUAUUUCAAGGCAUACUUAAUAGUUAAUCAUAUUACAUAUAUAUGAUUCUCCAUGAGUCCCAAAAAUCAAGAGAAUGUCAAGCUAGCAAGAUGGUUCAUGGUGGUUGACAAGAGAAAGUCAACUGGUCAAAACUGGGGUUCCUUAGACCCUAUCUCCUACAAUCUUUGUCAUAUGAAAAUUAUUAAAAGAUCCAAGUUAAUCAAAAUUACAUUCCCAAAAACUUUCAUGUUGAAGUCAAGAGCUAGUUUUGCUUGGAAAGUCAUUUUUUAUGGUGAAAGAUUAUAGGUCAUUUUGUCUAAACCCUAGUUUAGAGGUCAACUUCCCAAGACCAUAACUUGCUCAAUUUUUAUGAUAUUAAAGCCAUUAAAUUUUCAUGAUAAAAUUCAAGAUGUCUACAUCAAAUUUUAUGUUUAGAGGAAGCUCAAAUUCAACUUGCAAAUGCAUGUGCCAAGAGGAAACAUUAUAGGUCAUUUUGGGCCAAUACCAUUGAACAAGUGAUUUUCCUCAACUUCUAAAAUGCAUAACUCUUUCAUGCCAAAUCCAAAUUAGAUCAAAUUUGUGAUAAAAUUAAAUAGGUUUGAAAGAGAUACGACUGUGAUGAAGAAAAGUUUCUCAUUUGAAGUCCAUAGAAAAAGUUAUUCAAGGAGGAAGAAGUGAACAUUUGACUUGGGACUUAGAAAAUUUUCAAAUAUGUUUGAUUUUCCAAAUUUGCACCUCAAAAUUAGUCAUGAUCCAAGCUUCAAAUGAAAAAGUGUUCAACAUGAAAGUUGUUCCCCUAGAUCUCACCUUUCCAAAACAUACAAGAUCAUCUCAUUUGGAUCCAAAUUGAGGGACAUGCACAUGGCUCCAUUAUGGGAAGUGUUUUGGCAAGUUUUGAGCUCAAAUGAUCAUUCUUCUUUGCAUGCUUCCACAUGAUGAAUUCAGUACACUUUGCACACGAAUUGGGUGUGGAUUACAUCAUUCAUUAGGCCCAAACCAUUGCCCAUGCACCCAUGCAAGAAGGUUUCCAAAUUUGGCCAAAAUUCAAGUGGUGCAAAAAUCAAAUGCAUUGCCUAUUUAAACAAGCUCAAGGCUUUAGAAUCAACAUCAACACCUUGCCCAAGCUUUUCUAGACUGAUUCAAACCUUCACUAUUAUAGAAUUUAUGAAGAUUUCUAUUGAAGUUGAGCUUGAACUUCCUCUUCUGUUUGGAAGUUUAAACUCCAGAAAUUCACUUCCCUUUUCAUCUCAAUUGGCUUCUACAAGCAAGAGGAAGAGAAAGCAAUCAAAUCCAAAUCAAGAUCAAGGGGAAUUCGAUCAACUCGAAGGUGAUAUUUCAGAAACUUCAUCUCUUCGAUUCUCUCUCAAUUUUUCAUCAUUCUUUGUGAUUUUUGGUUGUCUGAAGUCCUAUCAAUGUAGGCAAGAAGAUUGAGUUUCUUUAAGGUCAAAUCAAAGCAACUAAGUUCAUGAUCCUCAAAAUUCAAAUCCCUGUAUCUUUUUAUAUACUUGGAAUUGGACAAAAUUGAGGCCAAAUUCGUGCUUCUGAGCAUUUUUCCUUCAAAAUAGUAUACUCACUUUUCAUUUUCCAUUGAGUUAAGCUUGGACCAGUCUGGUGGUCCGCACUGGAGAAGAUGACCGGAGCUAGGGCUUCAGUGGUAUGAUGGAGAAGAUGAGCGGAGCUAGGUCUCCAUAAAUUCACUUCCCUUUUCAUCUCAAUUGGCUUCUACAAGCAAGAGGAAAAGAAAGCAAUCAAAUCCAGAUCAAGAUCAAGUGGAAUUGGAUCAACUCGAAGGUGAUUUUUCAGAAACUUUAUCUCUUCGAUUCUCUCUCAAUUCUUCAUCAUUCUUUCUCAUUUUUGGUUGUCUGAAGUCCUAUCAAUGUAGGCAAGAAGCUUAAGUUUCUUUGAGGUCAAAUCGAAGCAACUCAGUUCAUGAACCUCAAAAUUCAAAUCCCUAUAUCUUUUUAUAUACUUGGAAUUGGAGAAAAUUGAGGCCAGAUUCGUGCUCCUGAGCAUUUUUCCUUCAAAUUUGUGUAUUUACUUUUCAUAUUUCAUAAGGUUUUGGUUGGACCAGUCUGGUAGUCCUCACCGGAGAAGAUGACCGGAGCUAGGACUCCGUUGGUGCACUGGAUCAAUCCAGACCAUCUGAUCCAUUUGAAAUGUUUUAAUCUCACGCAUCCAAACUGAUUACCAUGCCUACAGCGUGUUUGACUAGUGACCAUGUGGAAUGCGCGCUCUUGGCCAUCUGAUUUGCCACCUCAACUAAUGAGGGAGAUCAGAUGACCCUUAUUUUUUUGAUUUUCUGUUUAUUUCAUUUAAUCCUUUAUUUUUAAUUAAUUCAUAUCAAUUUUCAUUUUUAAUCCAAAAAAUAUGGGACUUUCAUCAAAAAAUUUCAAAUAUUUUCCUCUUUCAUUUUCUGAAUUAAAAAUAUUUUUGGAUUAAUUUUGAUAUUUUUUAUGAUUUAAUUAUUUUUAUGCAUAUUUUUAAUUGUUUAAAAAUACAUGUGACUUUCCUAAAAUUAUGAAUUUUUUUGUCUAAGGUCCUUUGACCUUGUUUGACCUAGGAUAAAUCUCUUGGCCAUUUGUUUGGUGUUUUGAAGAGGUUUUAGGUUUUUGAUCAAACAUAAUUAAAUUAAAAGGCAUUUUAAUUUGAUUUUUAAUUGAUUAAUUAUGUAGAAAUUAUGUUGAGCCAUUUUUAUUGACUUCUGAAGUUUGACUAUGUGUAUGGGCCUUGGUCAAGGUUGAUUUGACUUUUGUUGGAUUAAAAUCAUUGGAUUUAGGGGAUUGAUGAAAUAUACAUUUCAUCUCCCUAGAUGAAUGAAUAAUUUUAAUUUGAUAAAAGUCCUCCCAUGACCAAUUUGUGUUGAUCUCAUCUCCCCUCCCUCUUCAUCUUUAAUCCCAUUCUUUCCCAUCCCUUUCAUUCACCAAUGAAGUCUCAAUAUCCUAAGGCUAAUUGGUUCAUUCAUAACUUUGUGUUAGAUGAACCAAUACAAGUAUGGAUGAGAUUAGGUCCAUCCUUUGAUCAUUUUCUUUUUGUGUGUGGUAUGUUUUAGGAGUAUGAUUCAUUAUAUUAUAUCUCUAACAUGCAUUAACACCAAAAUAUUUAUUGCCUGGCCUCAGAUAGUUGUGACUUCUACAUAAGUCCAAUUAUGAUUGCUUAACAUAGCGCUAAAUUUUGACCCAAAGGCAUAGCAUUCUAGUAAGUGAGAUUGUAAGUCUCCCCCCUUUCAUGGUAUUAUGUGGAAAUUGGCCUUUUUUCCUUCCUUUGGAUGGUGCCUUGGCUCAAGGAUCCAUGCUUGUGAUAGAGGGUUGAGUGUUCUCCAAAGAAUGACUUAAUCAAUUGAAAAGCAAAACUCAACUAACUUUUAAUCAGCUAACAUUUGACCAACUCCUAUUAUCCUUGCUUUUAAUUUCAAGUCAUUUACUUUAUGAAAUUUAAAUUUAAGUCAUUUACCAUUUAAUUUUCCAUUUACAUAUCAUUUAACUUGUUUAUGUUUAUGCCAUUUUCACUUUGCUCACUUGAGCCAUAUAUUGUGAUUGUAUAUAUUUGUUUGUGUAUCUUGUUUAUGUUUGUGGUCUUAGGACCUUAAAAUACUUAAUAAACAACAAAAACCAUAAAAAAAAUUGUGUGGAUUGUUGGAUUUGAUCUGAGCUUUGGACUUAGAAUUAGGCAACAUUCCCUAUGCAAGAGGACUUGGCCAAUGCCAACAUUUUUGAAACCAAGUUAUUGUGAUUUGAGCUUCCAUAUGAUACAAGUAUUGGGGUCCACAUGAAUUCAUCUGCUACAUGAUCUUGAUGUAAAUGUUAUUUUGAACCAGUGUCUAAUGCCUUAUUCUGAGCCAAUCAAGGAGUAUGUCAUCUGAUACAUGGAAGAUUAAGAAGAAGACUAUGAAGUUGCUUGCUUGGAUGUGGCUAUCUUUAUUUGAUGCCUUGCUCUUCAUAUUGGUACUUGCUUAUUGAUAUUGCUUGAUUUAAAGUCCAAAGGAAAAAGUGGAUUUCUAUAUGACAUUCUUGUCUAUUGGAUUGCAUCCCAUUGGUCAGAUCUUUUCAACUCUUAACUUUUAAAUUUUAUGCUUAGGAUUAGUCUCUUCAUCUUCUACCAUUUCUUAAAUUUCAAAUCUUCCCCCCUUUUCAAAAACCUUCUUUGCUUGUGAUUUCUAAACUUAGACUCUUUUGCAAAUUAGACACUUUGGCCUUAUGCCAUUGCAUUUUUAAACUCUUUUCUUAAAUCAAACUUGUAAAUGAAUCUAAUCAUAUUGACUUAAAAUUUCAAAAGACAAAAAGAACUAACACUCAUUCAAACUCUUUUAGGCCCUUUGUGCCUCUUCAAAAUUUAAUUUUUUAUUAAAAGCAAUCCACUCAUUUUGAAAUUGUUACAAUGAACUACGAGGUUUUGAUCCCUCAUUUUUAUGUUGGUACGUAAGCACAAGUCCGAAGGUCUUAUCAAACACAAAAAUAUAACUAAUGAAUUCUUUUCUCAUCCCCACACUCUAUUUAUUGCAAACAUCUUUUAUACCAAAACACAUACAAACAUAAGAAAAGGGCUGCCUAGGAGUACCUAGGACACUUUGGGUGCUAACACCUUCCCUUUGUGUAACCAACCCCCUUACCUGUAAUCUCUGGCAUUUUAUUAGUUUUGAUUUGAAAACUUAUUAUCUUUGGGUUUUGUUCAUACUUUUCACUUUUUCUUUGGAAACAAUAAAAGCGCGGUGGCGACUCUGGUUUUAUUGACGUUAAGUUUAUCCAUAACUUAAUUGUCAUGAAUUUACCGCUAUAGAAAUUAAGUGGCGACUCUUCUGGGGAGUAGUCCUUAGUGGGUUUAGCCUACAUUUUUAUGUGUAUAUAAUUGUAUAUUUGAUGUUUGUAUACUUGUUUGUAUGAUAUAAUCUGCUUGUUGUGCUUGGUGAUCUCUGAGUGGUGAGAUAAGUUCUAACCCGGACUUGAGUGCAAUUAAGAUAGGAGGAUUGUAUAGUCAUGUUCGACUUGUGUUUAGUAGUCCUUAACAAGUUGGCUUGCGACCCAUCUACUCAGUGGAGACCCUUUUGGAGCUAUUGAUGUCACACAAGUUAUUUGUGGUUAGACGUUACUUUCUCUGGUUCGGGGUCCAAGAAGUUGAGGACCGUAGAACAUUUAACCCAACUUGGCCUAUUUAGGACGUAGUGCAGAGACUGUUCAAGUGUAGACUUGAUAACAGUUGUUACGCGAUACUAUACUCAGACGAGUUUCUCUUGAGAAUAUUACGGGUUGAUGAGUCAAUCACCCUAACCUGUAAUAUCUGAUAGAUAGAACUAAGACUCUGGGAACUUUUUAGAACAUAAUCUACAGGUUUUUAUCCUUAGUACACUCCUUUGGGAUGGUUCUUAACCUGACUCCAUGCUCGUGACUCACAACAAACCCUUGAUUCUUGGUUGAUCCAAUCAAAUCUUGUCAAUAUCAAUGGAACUUGGGUGUUGAUAAGGUGAAAACCAUAAUCCACCAAAAUGGAUGGUUGAUCUUGAAAAUGACUCGAUUCAUCCCUUGACCUUUGUUUGUUUGCCUUGUGUGUGAUCCCUUAUUUGUGAUUGUUGCAUUCAUGAUUUCAUACGCAUCAUGACAUUCAUCACACGAAAAAUAACGUCAAGGAACUGAGGUUUUAUUUGCAAAUAUUUUCAGACCAUGGAUUGUGGACGAAGGAACACUAAGAAGUACAGUUUCAGAUGUCCUGAUUUGAAAGAGCUAAGGAAGUUAUCAUCCUUUGUAUUAGAUCCCUUGGACUUCAAGCAACAUCAUGGGAAGAUGUUAUACGUGUUAUAUGUUGAUGUAGUUGAAGGACUCUUGAGUGUGUUGGUUUAGUUUUACGACCCUCUCUACCAUUGCUUCACUUUUCCCGAUUAUUAGCUUAUGCAUACGCUAGAAGAGUAUGCCCACCUCUUGAGAAUACCUAUUUCUGACAAGGUGCCUUUCAGUGGAUUAGAGGAGAUUCUCAGAUCUCAUAUCAUAGCUAAAGCUCUUCAUCUGAAGAAGUCUGAGAUUGAGGCUCAUUGGGUGAAGAAAGGAGGAAUGUUUGGGUUGACUUAUGAGUUCCUUAUUGGGAAAGCUACUGCCUUUUCUCAAGCUGGUAGUGUGGAUGCUUUUGAAGCCAUCUUUGUGUUGCUCUUCUACGGUUUAUCUUUGUUUCCUAACAUUUACGAUUUUCUUGAUGUUAACGCCAUUAGAAUCUUCUUGAUUAGGAAUCUUGUUCCAACUUUGUUGGGUGAUAUGUACUUCUCUUUGCAUUUAAGGAAUUCUAAAGGCGACAAAACUAUUGUGUGAUGUGUUCCUCUUCUGUACAAGUGGUUUAUUUUGCACUUGCCUCAGACACCUGCUUUUGUGGAGAACAAGCAAUGUCUACGAUGGUCUUAGAGACUUAUGUCUCUCACUAAUAAUGAUAUUGUUUGGUAUGAUUCUGCAUUGAGUAGCUUGGAUAUUAUUGAUAGUUGUGGUGAAAUCUCUAAUGUGCCUCUCAUUGGUACACAAGGAGGAAUCAAUUGCAACCCUGCUUUGGCUCGUCGUCAACUUGGGUUCCCCUUGAGAGACAAACCUAAUAACACUCAAUUAGAAGGUAUUUUCUAUCAAGAGGGUAAGUAUCCCCAACGUUUGAAGCAGAAGAUGAUGCAUGCUUGGCAUAAUGGGCAUAGGAAAGGAAGAUCCAAGCUUGGUCCAUGCAACAGUGUAGCUUUGGAAGCUUACACUACUUGGGUGAAGAAGAGAGCUUUGGAAUUGAAGAUGCCGUAUGCUUAUGAGAGACCUAUGUCUAUGGUUGUGGUUGAGCCAUAAACUCUCCCUAACCAAGAUGUAGAGGAGUUGGAAGACGCACUCGCCAAGAUGAAGCAAGAGAAGGAUAUGUGAGAAGAGCGGUUCCAUGCUUUGAGCCGAAAGCAUGAGGAGUUGCAGCUUGAGUCGAAGGACAAAGAUGUGCUUAUUGAACUUCUUGAAGACCGAGCAAUGAAGAGAUAGAGAGAACCAGAGAGUCCAUCUUCCUCUAGUAUGCCUAAGCCUUCCGCUGCUUGGAAGAAGAUUGUUGAUCAGCUUGUCCUCGAGAAGGCUCAGAUGAAGACUUCUUUUGAGACCGAGAUCUGACGCAUCCGAAGGAAGUACGCACCAGCGGCCAGAUCAUCUGACACUGUUGUUAGGGGAUCCUUAGGAUGAUUAGUUUCCCUUUCUCUUGUAUUUGUAUUUUGGUUUCUGAAAUUGUACUAAGUGUAAUCCUUCCAAAUUAUAUGAAUAAAAGAGAUUUUAUGGUCAAUCAAAUUGUUACUAUUGCUAUUAUAUAUUUGAAAAUAAAAUAGUAUGUUCCUUGAAAAUAAAAACAAACAAAACAUUUCAUUUCAUGCAUCAUUUGCAUAACAGGUUUUCUUCUGCCAAAUGUCUUAUCGGUUAUUCUUCUGUGCUUUAGCCAAGCUGACUCACUGAUACAACACUCGCGCCAAUCAACCGAGAAUCAUGGAGCAUUUAGAGCAAGAGAAACGAGAACUGAAGGAUGAUAUUGCUCAUCUAACUGCUAUGAUGAAGUAUGUUCUAGAUGCUCAGAAUAAGUCUUCUCCAACUCCUGCAACUCUUCCUCCUCAUAGGACUGUCAUCUCAGAGGUUGCUACCUCAACUGUUCAUGUUGCUGCUACUCAAUUUGGUCCAACUAUGCCUGCUGGAUUCCCGUGGAGGAUGCCGUUGAAUUUUAUGCCUGAAGGGUUUGCACUUAUAUUUGCUUAUAUGUCAGUAUCUAGCCUGGUCAUGUCUGUGCCGCCUCCAGUUGUUCAUACUCUGCCUCGGGUUGAGGACACCAUCUACCAUUCUGAGCCGUCUGAGGGACCUGAUGUUUAUGAGAAGAUCGAUGAGAUGAAAGAUCAGUUCCUUGAGCUGCGAAAGGAAUUAAAGACAUUGAGGGGAAGAGAUUUGUUCGAUAAGAGUGUCGUUGAACUCUGCUUGGUACCAAACAUUAAGAUCCCAAUGAAGUUCAAAGUCCCUGACUUUGAAAAGUAUAAGGGAAAUACCUAUCCGCUUAGCCACCUUGUCAUGUAAGCCAGAAAAAUGUCAACUCAAACUGAUAAUGAUCAGUUAUUGAUUCACUACUUCCAAGACAGCCUGACUGGUGCCGCUUUAAGAUGGUACAUGGGGCUAGACAGUGCAAGUAUUCGCACAUUCAAUGAUUUGGGUGAAGCUUUUGUGAAGCAGUAUAAGUACAAUGUGGACAUGGCGCCUGAUAGAGACCAACUGAGGUAUAUGUCUAAGAAGGACAAAGAGACAUUCAAAGAGUAUGCCCAGAGGUGGAGAGAGCUUGCCGCUUAGAUUAAUCCUCCGUUGGAAGAGAAGGAGAUGAAGAAGAUUUUCCUGAAAACCCUGAGUUCGUUUUAUUACGAAUGCAUGAUUGUUAGUUCCCCUAGUGACUUUACCGAAAUGGUAAACAUGGGGAUGAGAUUAGAGGAUGAAGUCCGAGAGGGACGUUUGUCUAAAGAACAUGUGUCAUAUAGUAAGAAGCAUGGAAGUGGUUUUUCCAGAAAGAAGGAAGGGGAAACCAAUGCAGUAUCAGUAGGGAGGCAGAUGAGGCCUCAUGUCAAAAGAAAUCCGCAACCGCGUCAGCAUCAACAUCAAGUUUCACCAGUUAUUCAAGUAUUUUCAAACAAUCAAUCAGUUCCAGUUCAACAACAACGACAACAACAGUCGCAACAAAGAACCAACAACUACAACUAUAACAACAACAAAAUUUCGAGAGGAAGAAGGUCUCUUUUGACCCUAUUCCUAUGUUAUACGCUGAACUCUACCCGUCUCUGGUUCUCAAGAACCUACUCCAGCCAAGGAGUUCACCUCAAAUUCCAGAACCACUGCCAUGGUGGUACAAGCCUAAACUCCGUUGUGCCUUUCACCAAGGAGCUCCCGACCAUGAUAUUGAGAACUGUUACCCAUUGAAGUAUGAGGUAUAGAAGCUUAUGAAGAGUGGGAUGGUGUCCUUUGAGGACUGUGCGCCGAAUGUGAAAGCUAAUCCGUUGCCUGCUCAUGGUAUUUCCUCUAUCAAUAUGGUAGAUGGUUGUCCAGGAAUCUUCCGAGUCUUCGAUGUACGACGUAUUCGUCGGUCCUUGGUGGAGAUGCAUAGGACCCUGUGUACCAUCAGUGAUUGUGAGCAUGACCAUGAUGGUUGUGCAAUUUGUAGCGUGAACCCCCGUGGGUGUUUGAUCGUCAAAAGAGAUAUCUAGAAGUUGAUGGAUGAGAAUGUAAUCCAGAUUCAACAGUCGAGGGAUAUAGAUGAUGUCAAUGUAAUUGUUCCAGUGUUUAAAACCCCAGAGCGUGUAGUAAUUCAAUUUGAAAGUAGCAAUAGUAACAACGUCAAUAGAUUGGUAUCAUCGUUAGUGAUACGGUUAGCGGGCCCUGUCCCGUAUGCAUCCGAUAGAGCUGUUCUGUACCAGUAUAGUGCUACCAUGGUGGAGAAUGGUCAAGAGGUUCUAUUGCCUACGACCAAUUCUGUUGUGAAUAUUGCAUAUGUUACGAAGGUGACCCGUAGCGGUCAUGUUUUCGGUCCCAUUUUCCCAAAAGAAGUGAUAGAAGAUGCUUCAGUUGGUAAGAAGGUUGAUGUGCCUGUAGUAAAUCCAGUUAGUGCUCCAAUAUGUCAGUCUGGUGAAUCCAGCAAAUUGAAGACUAACAAUGAUGAUGAGGUACUGAGAUUGAUCAAGAAAAGUGAAUUUGAUAUGGUGGAACAACUGCUCCAAACUCCUUCGAAGAUUUCAGUGUUAUCUCUGCUAAUGAAUUCUGAAACGCACAGAGAAGCAUUGCAAAGAGUGUUGGAGAAAGCCUACGUCAAGCAUGAUGUGACUAUGGAUCAAUUUGACCACAUUAUGGCUAACAUUACUUCCUGCAACAACUUGAGCUUUUGUGAUGAAGAACUUCCCGAGGAAGGCAGAAAUCACAAUCUAGCACUGCAUAUAUCGAUGAACUGCAAGGAUGAUGCAUUGUCAAAUGUGUUGGUUGAUACUGGUUCUUCUUUAAAUAUACUCCCUAAAUCAACUCUGUCUAGAUUGUCAUAUCAAGGCACCCCUAUGAGGUACAAUUGCGUGAUUGUCAAAGCUUUUGAUGGUUCUCGCAAGACUGUCAUUGGAGAAGUGGACCUUCCAAUGAAGAUAGGUCCGAGUGAUUUUUAAAUUACUUUUUAAGUAAUGGAUAUCCACCCGGCCUAUAGCUGCUUGUUAGGAAAGCCAUGGAUCCAUGAAGCUGGAGCUGUAACAUCUACUCUGCACCAGAAGUUGAAAUUUGUGAAGAAUGGCAAGCUUGUCAUUGUUGGUGGAGAGAAAGCGUUGUUGGUGAGCCAAUUGUCAUCCUUUUCAUAUGUUGAAGCUGAGGAAGAGGUUGGAACUCCGUUCCAAGCCUUAUCCAUUGUUGAGGUAAAGAAAAUUGGGGCACCCAUGUCUUCUUUCAAGGAUGCUCAGAGAGCUAUUAAGGACGACAACACAAAUCAAAUGGGGUCGUAUGAUAGAAUUCUACGAGAACAAGAACCGAGCCAGAUUGGGAUAUCCCAAUGAGGGUCGUCUAAUGCUAGAGCUGAAGAAGUGCAACCAAGUUUCCGUAGCGGAGGGUUCAUCCAUGUUAAUGGACAACACUCAGCUGCUGUGAUCGAAGGCGAUGAAGAAGAAGACUGUGCCAACUUUGUGACGCAUGGCAAGACUUGCAACAAUUGGGUUGAUGUUGAUGUUCCUAUUAUUGUCCAUCGUUCUAAGUAAUUUGCUUUUACAUUUGUUUUAAGAAAAAUCCUUCUCCUAUGCCUAAGGGAGAAGUGAACAUUGUUGGGCAUUUCCAAAUUAUCAUCAAUAAAAUGCAAUUCUAUUCAUCCACAUCUAUGCUAUUUUAUUUUUACUUUUUUAUUUUCUGAAAAUGGUAAUCACAAAAAACAUAAAUAAAUAAUAAUUGUCCAUCUGCAUAAUAUUUGGUCACAAUUUACUUCUCUAAAAGCAAAAUAUUGAAUCAUUAUGCAGGUUGGUUUCUAAACCCAUUGAAUACAAUGACCCUACUCCCUCCCCAAACUUUGAUUUCCCAGUGUUUGAGGUCGAGGAAGAGACUAAUGAAGAAGUGUCUGAUGAACUAUCUCGUCUACUUGAGCAUGAAGAAAAAGCCAUUCAGCCAUUCGAAGAAUAGAUUGAGCUAGUCAACUUGGGUUCCGAAGAUGAUGUGAAGGAAGUCAAGAUUGGGUCUCAGUUGUAUCCAGAGGUUAAGAAGGGGUUGAUUGAUCUUCUCCGAGAGUAUUCAGAUGUGUUUGCUUGGUCCUAUCAAGGCAUGCCUGGUUUGGAUUCUGAGAUUGUGGAGCAUAGAUUGCCAUUGAAUCCAGAAUGCCCGCCAGUCAAGCAGAAAUUAAGGAGGACUCAUCCUGAUAUGGCAGUGAAGAUCAAAGAAGAAGUGCAGAAGAAAAUUGGUGUCAGUUUCCUUGUCACAGCUGAGUAUCCGCAAUGGGUGGACAAUAUUGUGCCUGUUCCGAAGAAGGAUGGAAAAGUCCGUACGUGUGUUGAUUAUAGAGAUUUUUGUUGGUGUAAGCCCUAGAGGCCAAUACUUUUGGUACUUCUAUCGAAUUAUUUAUUAAUAAUAAAAGGAUUUUUCUUUAUUAUGUUUGUUUAAUAAAGUCCCUAGAAUAGCUAGUCUGUUUAAUGUAUCAAGUAUGACUUAAUCAAUGAGUAUCUAUCAGUUAUUAAUCAUGAGAUAUAAAAAAGGACACCUAUCUUAAAGUAUCCGUAUUCGAGCUUUAGUGUGAAGUGGGAUAACAUUAAAAGCAUUAAGACUAUUAUGUUUGUAGACUGAUGAUCACAUCUCAUGGAUCAUGGAUAAAGAGUUAUCAAGUCUUAAACAUAGGUAUGAAUAUUAGGAGUAAUAUUUAUACCGGAUUGAACCCGCUAUGCGAAUACUAUAUAGAAAGUUAUGCAAAGUGUCAUAAGUUUAUUCUCAUGGUGAUAAUGGUGUAUACCCACUCUUCGACCUGAAACCACUAUGGACCCUAGAUGUAGAGUCGAGUGCUUUUAUUGCUGAUCAAACGUUGUCCGAACUGGAUAACCAUAAAAGACAGUUGAUGGUACUCCACGAAGCAUGCUGAGGGACAUGAGUGACCUAGAUGGAUUUGCCCAUCCUGCAUAAAAGGAUUUAAUGUCUAUGGGCCCAAUAUUGAACUGGACAAGGAUGACACGGUCUAUGCCUUGUGUUCAUAUAGAACAUAAGGGCAAAAGGGUAAUUAUACACAAAGUAUUAUCACAGAAGGUUUGUCAGAUCACAUGACAUUUCGUGUCUUGGUAGCAGUGAUGUGUUGCUAGAUACCGCUCACUGUUUAUUAUGUUAAAUGCGUGAUUUAAUAUAAUUGCCAACGUACAUGAAAACCUACAGGGCACACACAAAGGACGGAUUGAUGAGAGAUAGGGUAACUAAGGAUAACCGUAAGUACGGUGCCCUUAAAUGAAUUAUAGAACAUCGUAAGGUACGGUGUACUUGAGUAAAUACGAAAUAUGGUAAGGUACCAUGGGCUAAGUGAUUUGGUGGCAUAUAUAAGAUAUGGGCCAAAAUACACUUAAGUGGGCCUUUUAGCUUGAAGCCCACACAAGUGGUUCUAAUAAAUAGAACCCUUGUGCAGAAGCAUUAAUGCAGUUUGUCAAACGGUGAACUGACUUUGUGUGUUUGGCUUUGGAAAGCAAAGUCGCGGAUAGCAAGAGUCGCCACCGACUUUCUUUUAUCCAAUAAGGAAAGGCGAAAAGAACAGGAAAGACCUUGAUUAGAUUUUGGGUCGGGAGGUAUAUAACAAGGAAGGUGUUAGCACCUUUGUAUCCAUGGUUAUCCAUGGCUCUUAAUUGCUUAAUCAUUAUGUUUUUCUUGCCUGAAAGGUGUUUGAGAACUGUUUAGAAAAUAUUUUGAAAAGAGAGUUUAACUUUGUAAUAUUCUUGUACGAAUGUAUACAAAGUAUUUAUCUCGUUUAAUUUGAAAGCUGUUUAGAAAAAAUAUAACUUGGCAAUGAUUCUAGUAUGAAUGUAUACCAAGUGGUGAUUUUCUAAUAGAGUGUGCAAAAUGGAAGUGUGAAAGCAUUGUAAGUUGUGAAUCAGCAUUAAGAGUUGUACCUAACCAAGGUCUUUAUAGGUGUUUCCUAUCCUUAGGAGGGUAAGACUGUCCUUACUAUUGAGAAAUAAUUAGUCUUAUCCUUUGAUGUAAAGGGACAUCGUAGGUCAUCGAUUGGUCAUUGGAGGCAACAUUUGUAAGGAUACCUUAGCAUUCGAAGGACAAUCAUCAUUAACCUCGAGGCCUACAAACGAAGGGUCAUCGAGGGAUAAAAUCAUAUAUUCGUAGGCGACAUCCGAGGGACUACGAUUUAUCUAUAGGGGACAAUGAUAAUUUAACCGAAGGGUCUUUGCUAAGUGUAUCCCCACAUUCGCGGGACAUGACCGUAAUACCGUAAGGCAACAAAGAGAGGAACCAAGACACAUGUAUUCAAAGGCAACAUUUGUAAUCAGUUAGAUAAUUAGAAUAGAUCUCCACAAGGGUAUCCCACAAAUAAAGUGGAAUACCUAGCAAGCUACUUUCUUCGGGAGUAUGUGAACCCUCACAAAAAAUCAACAAACAGGUCAGAAUACCAAAUGGGGUGCAAUCAAUAAUUGCACCGAACAAAGGAAUCGCUGCAGAAAUAAUGUCAGGCAAAUAAUACACAGCUAUGAUAGGACAUGUCAGAUAAACACAGAACAGAACAGAAAAAAUCAGCGACUGUCAUGUUCGCUACUGCCUCGCCUAGCGAAGGCUUGGCGAACACUCGCUACAGGUUCGCUUAGCGAUGUGCUAGCGAACGGCUGCGGGUUUAGAGUUUGAUAACAGUACGAUUUCCGGAACUCCGAACCCUGUGGCAUUCAUUACAGAAAUUACACGGUUAAACAUUCAGGAUAUUCAUGCAUACUUAAACCCACAUGCAAAAUCUAACUACAUAUCCAAAAUUCAAUCAUAAUGCAUCAUGUAUUUAGAGAUUACAAACUGGAAGUAUAAAACGGUAGUGAUGGUGCAAACCUGUUUGCGAUUGAAUUGCACCAGUGAAUUGGUAGAUCACUCUUAGGGUUUAUACCGGAUCGAGUGGGCGGAGGUAACCUUUGUGCAGGUGAGUUUCCUUCAGGGUUUCCUUUAGGGUUGCUCUGAAUUCUUUUGGUUAGCCUCCAGGGUUUGCUCUCUGUGCGUGUUGUGUUCUCCUUUCUCCUUGUUUUUUCCCGUCCUCCUUUUCUGAAAUGAGGUCUUUGGUAUUUAUAAUAGUUUUUGUGACCUGAUGGGCUCAGAAUGAAGCCCAAAAUUUCUGUAUUCGCAAGCUUUCGCUAGGCGAGUGGUGCAGCGAAGAGUUCGCUAGCGAAGGAUUUUGCUCGCCUAGCGAGCCAAGCCAUUUAAGUCAUUUUCUGGAUUUGGCCACCUGUGUGCUGGGUCUUUGUUCCUUUAAGAUCAAUGUCUUGAAAAAUGAGUUGGAGUGCCUUGAAAAAUGUCUUGCAAGAUUAACGGGCAAAUUUUGGAGUAUGACACGAUUGCAUUAUUUUCGUUUUCUCACUCUCUCUCUCUCUCACUCAAAGCCUUCAUUCGUACCAGCUAGCACUGAGAUUGAAGAAAUCCGUUCGUGUGGACUGAGUAGAGACGUUGUCAUCGUUCAACGUUCGUGAUCGCUUCGUGGAUCUGCAUCAAAGGUUUUAAUCGUCACAAGAGGUAAAUAUUCUAUCACUGAUCAUGACCAUUAGUAAGGAUCUCUAAAGGAGAAAAUUUUAAUUUCCACUGCGUUUUGGACCGCAAUUCUCCUUCAAUUUUAACAAAGAUAGUCCGAGAGAUGAUUUCCCUCUGCCACACAUUGAUAUGCUGGUAGACAAUAUAGCUAAAUUCAAAGUCUUUUCGUUUAUGGACAGAUUUUCCGAUUACGAUCAGAUCAAGAUGGAACCCGAGGAUAUGGAGAAGACCACAUUCAUUACACCCUGGGGAACAUUUUGUUAUAGAGUGAUACCUUUCGGUUUAAAGAAUGCUAGUGCAAUAUACCAGAGAGCAAUGACCACUCUUUUUCAUGAUAUGAUGCAUAAAGAGAUCAAAGUUUAUAUUGAUGAUUUGAUUGCUAAAUCAAGUGAUUAAGAAGAACAUGUUGAACAUUUGUUGAAGCCAUUCCAGCGUUUGAGGAAGUACAAACUCCACUUGAAUCCCAAUAAGUCUACAUUUGGUGUUCGUUCUGGUAAGUUGUUGGGCUUUUUUGUCAGCAAUAAAGGUAUUGAAGUUGAUCCUGCCAAGGUCAAAGCAAUACAAGAGAUGUCUGCGCCCAAAUCUGAGAAGCAAGUCAGAGGUUUUCUCAGCCGCUUGAAUUAUAUCUCAAGAUUCAUUUUGCAUAUGACUGCCAUGUGUGCACCUAUAUUCAAGCUUCUUCAGAAAGAUCAGUCUUGUGAUUGAACCGAGGAUUGCCAGAAAGCUUUUGAUAGUAUCAAAGAAUAUCUGCUUGAGCCUCUGAUUCUCUCUCCACCUGUUGAAGGAACACCGUUGAUAAUGUAUUUCACUGUGCUUGAUGAAAGUAUGGGUUGCAUUCUGGGUCAGCAAGACGAAACGGGAAAGAAAGAAUAUGCAAUUUACUACCUCAGUAAGAAGUUCACCGACUGUGAGACUCGAUAUUCUAUGCUUGAAAAGACUUGUUGCGCAUUGCCUUGGGCUGCUAAGCGUCUGCGUCAGUAUAUGUUGAAUCAUACUACUUGGUUGAUAUCCAAAAUGGAUCCAAUCAAGUAUAUUUUUGAGAAACCUUCUUUAACUGGGAGGAUUUCCCGUUGGCAGAUGUUGUUAUCUGAGUAUGAUAUUGAAUACCGAUCUCAAAAAGCUAUCAAAGGUAGUGUCUUGGCUGACCAUUUGGCUCACCAACCAAUUGAAGAUUAUCAGUCAGUACAGUAUUAUUUUCCCAACAAAGAGAUCUUGAACUUGAAAAUGAAAGAUUAUGAUGAACCAUUGCUUGAAGAAGGGCCAAAACCUAGUUCCUGUUGGGGCAUGGUAUUUGAUGGAGCUGUUAAUGAGUAUGGUAAUGACAUUAGGGCAGUGAUUAUUACUCCUCAAGGCACUCAUUUUCCAUUUACAGCUAGAUUGACUUUCAAGUGUACAAAUAAUAUGGCUGAGUAUGAAGCUUGCAUUAUGGGGCUUGAAGAGGCCAUUGAUCUUAGAAUCAAAUAUCUCGACGUCUAUGGAGAUUCAGCUUUGGUUGUGAAUCAGAUCAAAGGUAAAUGUGAGACGAAUCAACCCGGUUUGAUACCAUAUAGAGACUAUGCGAGGAGGAUUUCAACUUUCUUUAUAAAGGUUGAGUUUCAUCAUAUCCCUCGAGAUGAAAACCGGAUGGCAGAUGCUCUUGCAACAUUGGCUUCAAUGAUAGUGGUGAAAUUUUGGAAUGAAGUUCCUAAUUUGACUGUGAUGCGUCUUGAUAGGCCAGCUCAUGUAUUUGCUGUUGAAGAAGUCAAAGACGAAAAGCUGUGGUAUUUUGAUAUCAAGUGUUUUCUGCAAAUUCAGAUUUACCCGUCUGGGGAAUCUUUGAAAGGUAAGAAGACUGUGAGAAGAUUAGCUGACAACUUCUACCUGAAUGGUGAUGUGCUUUAUAAGAGAAACUUCGAUAUGGUUCUGCUCAGAUGCAUGGAUAGACAUGAAGCAGACUUAUUGAUGACGGAAGUCCAUGAAGGUUCCUUUGAUACUCAUUCCAAUGGACAUGCUAUGGCUAAGAAGAUGUUGAGAGCAAAUUACUAUUGGAUGACAAUGGAAUCUGAUUGUUGCAAGUUUGUGAAGAAAUGCUAUAAGUGUCAGAUAUACGCAGAUAAGAUUCAUGUUCCUCCGAUACUGUUGAAUGUUAUUUCCUCUCCAUGGCCCUUCUCCAUGUGGGGAAUUGAUAUGAUUGGCAUGAUUGAUCUUAAAGCUUCAAACGGACAUCGUUUCAUUCUGGUGGCUAUUGACUACUUCAGGAAGUGGGUUGAAGCGGCAUCGUUUGUGAAUGUAACUAAGCAAGUUAUUGUGAGGUUUAUCAAGAAUCAAAUUAUAUGCUUGUAUGGUGUGCCAAGUAAGAUCAUUACUGAUAAUGGAUCUAACUUGAACAAUAAUAUGGUGGAAGCUCUUUGAAAAGACUUCAAAAUUUCACAUCAUAAUUCUUCUCCCUACAGACCUAAGAUGAAUAGGGUUGUUAAAGCUGCAAACAAGAACAUCAAGAAGAUCAUCCAGAAGAUGGUUGUGACGUAUAAGGAUUGGCAUGAGAUACUCCCAUUUGCUUUACAUGGGUACCGUACAUCCGUCCGCACUUCUAAAGGGGCAACCCCUUUUUCACUUAUUUAUGGCAUGGAAGUUGAGAUCCCAUCAUUGCGUGUUUUCAUGGAAUCAAAGUUGACUAAAGUUGAAUGGUGUCAGACUAGGUACGACCAGCUGAAUUUGAUUGAAGAGAAAAGGUUGACUGCCAUGUGUCAUGGUUAGUUGUACCAGCAUAGAAUGGAGAAAGCUUUUGAUAAGAAGGUUAGGUCUCGUGUAUUCAGAUAAGGUGACCUGGUGCUCAAGAAGAUUUUAUCUUUUAAACCAGAUGUUAGGGGCAAAUGGACUCCUAAUUAUAAAGGCCCAUAUGUUGUCGAGAGAGCCUUUUCAGGUGGUGCUUUGAUUCUUACAACUAUGGAUGGUGAAGAGUUCACUCGUCCUGUGAAUGCCGAUGCAGUGAAGAAAUACUUUUCCUAAAAAGAAAAGAACAAAUCGCUAAGUUGAAAAUUUGAAAGGGCGACUUAGGCAAAAAUGAGCGUCUCGGUGGAUUGAAAACCUGAAAGAGCGAUCCAGGCAAAAAUUAGAGACAUAAAACAGAAAAAUUUAUCCCUAUAGAUUGAGUACCCCACCUUGGGGAAAUUUAUGCAAAAAUUAGGGAUUAUGGCAAGUAACUGCAUUCAGUUGAUCUUCAGUCUUGAAGACAUUCUUGAGCAAGUCAGUCAACUUUGAUUCAUCAUCCUUAACCGAAUCCCAGAACACAGUGGAUAUUGAAGAUGGUAGAAGGAUUAGUGAUCAUUGUAUUCAAUGUAGCCCUUUUCCAUGUAAAUUACCAUUUUUCAACUUUUGUAAAGUUCUAUGGAGUCUUGUCAUUUACAGACUACCAUUUUAUUAAAUAAAGUUGAGCUUUUAUCCAUUUAUUUUUGCUCUUAUUUAUCUUUCAGCCAAAUUAAAUUAAAUUUUAUGAUGAUCAUUUUGAAAUUGAAUUUAAAAAAUCAAUAAAAAUCAUCUUUCUUAAAAUAAUAAAAGCAAUUACUUUAAAAAGAGGAAUCGAUUUUCAUUAAGGAAUAUCCACAGCAGUUUGAAAACAGGUAAGUCCUAAAAUGCGAAACAUUGUUGGUCUUCCCUAAGCAGUUAGCUUAGUAAGUUGGUUUCCCCAGCUGAGUUUGAGAUCGUUUCCCCAACUGAGUUUUGUGAUCACUUCCCCAACUAAUUUGUAGGCGCGUAUUCUCAACGGUUUACACGAAUUCAGUGCAGAUUUUUGUUUCCCCUCAGAUCGCCAACAGACUUAUCCUUUUUCCCCGUCAACACUGAUUCUUGAGCAGUAUUUUUGAUCCUCUACAAGGUUGUCUCCCAUUUGAUAUGGUGUUGACCUGAAAUUCCCUACAGGGUUGAUGGUUUGAAUCCUCAUCAGAUCCUCUUGCUUUCCCCAGCCAGGGUCAAGCCUUUGAGAUGGAUGGUUUAUGUCCAUCCCCAACUAUUUUUCUCUAGUUGAUGCCUCCUUCCUGUCGAGAUUAGUCGAGUGUUAUAUCGAUGAUUCAUACCGUUGACAUUUAUAUCCUUCGUGAUUAUUUUUUGUCAGCAUAAUCAUCAAUCAUAUACAUAUACAUUCAUGGAUUUCAUUAUUGCAUUAUUAUUGCACUUUGUGAUUCAUUAUUUUUUCUAAUCCUCUUCUAUGGUGAUAUCAUUUCCCCACGUAGAUUUGGUGUGUCUGUCCUCCCUCAAUUGUAGAGUGUCAGCCCCUUAAGCAGAAAGAAUUUAACCUUUCUCAUUCCCCACUGAGUUGUUUUCUCAUGGAUGAUUAUUAUUUUAGCUUCCUCCCCAGUUGAUUAUCUGGAUGGAACCACUCCCCUUGAGUUAUAUCCUCACCGGGUCAAGUCUUUGAUAGACCGUUUCUUUCUAGCUCUUACCUAGAUUGAUGCUUUUGGUCCCCUGAGAGUCUAUUACCCAAUAACUGGUAAUAUUCUUCUCAAUUUACGAGUGCUUUACUUUUACACAAUACCUGGUAAUAGUAAUCUACUUUCUCUUGUUUUCCCCCAGUGGAUUCGUUUUACGUUUCCCCAGGUAGUCUAUCCUUGAUAUGUUCAUCUUAACCGGUGACCAUAUUCUUCCUUUUGAGUUUAUCCUUGAUAUGUUCAUCUUAACCGAUGACAGAUAUUCUUCCUUUUGAGUUUAUCCUUGAUAUGUUCAUCUUAAUCGAUGACAGAUAUUCUCCCCUUUUUGGUUUUCUACCCAGUAAAAAGGUAGUUGUAAUCCCUAUUUUAUUCCCCAGAGGGUUAAUCCUUGAUAUGUUCAUCCUAACUAAUGAUGGGUUUCCUCCUCUUUGCGGUCUUUUGCCCAGUAACCGAUAGUUGUAAAUCUUACUUUCCCUUGCGGAGUCUAUCCUUGAUAUGUUCAUCCUAACCAAUGAUAGAUAUUCUUUUUACGGUAUUCUAUCUAGUAACUGAUAGAUGUAAUUCCUAUUUCUUCCUUCGGAGUCUAUCUUUAAUAUGUUCAUCCUAACCGAUGACGGAUAUUCUUUUUUCGGUAUUCUAUCUAGUGACUGACAGAUGUAAUUCCUACUUUUCCCCGGCAGUUUAUCCUUGAUAUGUUCAUCUUAACCGAUGACGGAUAUUCUCCCCUUUGAGUUUAUGCUUGACAUGGCCACUUUAACCAGUGACAUGUAUUCUCUCUCUUCGGUCUUCUGCCCAGUAGUCGGUAGUUGUAAAUCCUAUUUGACUUUUCUCCAGCAGGUUAUUCAUACCUAGUAACUGGUAAUGAAUACACCUCAUGUUGCCCUCAACAAUUCAUCCUUGAUAUGUUUACCCUAACCGGUAACGGGUGUCCUCUCUGUCAGACUAUGUUAUCUCCUUACCCGGUAACUGAUAAUGGAUAAUAUACUUCUAUUACUCCUGCGUUGAAGUUCAUUUCUUCCCCAAUGAGUUUGAGUGUGUAUUUCCUCAUUGAAAUCGCCUUUUCCUUUUUGGAUCGAGUAUUUCAGUUUUGUCCUGAUUUACCCGUUUCCCCUGCAUAUAUUUCCUUUAUCCCCGGCUGAGUCCUUCCAUUGAUUUAUUUUCAUGGACCCUCUCGUGUCCCCCAACAGUUUUAAGUUGUAUCCUAGCCUACGCAUAACUUUUUAUCCCCCAGAGUCUCUGUCUCACCAGUGAGUUUUCCCUCGUGGAAUGCAUUAUGCUCUUGUGGACUUUCGGUCUCUCCGGAUUCUUUUCCUUUGUGGCAACAUUUUCCCCAUAGAGAUUAUUUGUAACAUUUCGUAUCAUAUGCAUCAUGAGGUCUCUUAGGGGCCAAAAUUUGUUUCUAUUGUUUUUAUUUAAGUCCAUUCUACUGAUUCGAUACGAAGAUUUUAACCUUCAUCUCCUCAGCUAGAACAUCCUUAAAUAGGGGCAGCUGUAAGACCCCAAUUUUGACUCUAAGAUCCCUCCUGCUAUCUCAUCAUAUGCAUUGGCAUUGGGAUGACACCUUGACAUCCUCCUUACCCCUCAUUCAUUGGGUUUGCAGUGAGAAAGAUCACCAAGCACAUUUGAUUGUAUCAUACUUUAUUUCUUUUUGUUUACUAACCAAAAUACCAAAUAUGUCAAUGUAUAGUUUGUUGCUUUUGUAGGUAGUAUGUAUGCUCACCUAUGCUCUAUCAAGCUCAUAUCUAGGGUUUGAGACCCUCAAUGCAAGGAGCACAAUCAAGAAAUGGUUCACAUUGGCUCUAACCAUAAUAUAUGGAUCCCCAUGAUCUUCACAUAUCAUUUUAAUCCAGAACUCAUCAAGAGUUUAGAGUUUGUUUGCCUUGGAAACCCUAAUUCAUCUAGGUAACUUGUGUGACUUCUUCAAUAAGUUUCUUCAACAAUUGAUCAAAUAUUUCAAGGGAUACUUCAUAUUUAGUCAUCUUACACAUAUAUUAUCCUCCAUGAGUCCCAAAAAUCAAGAGAAUGUCAAGCUAGCAAGAUGGUUUCAUGGUGGUUGACUACAGAAAGUCAACUGGUCAAAACUAGGGUUCCCUAGACCUAUCUCCUACAAUAUUUGUCAUAUGAAAAUUAUUACAAGAUCCAAGUUACUCAAAAUGACAUUCCUAAAAACUUUCAUGUUGAAUUCAAGAGCUAGUUUUGCUUGGAAAGUCAUUUUUUAUGGUGAAAGAUUAUAGAUCAUUUUGUCUAAACCCUAGUUUAGAGGCCAACUUCCCAAGACCAUAACUUGCUCAAUUUUUAUGAUAUUAAAGCCGUUAAAUUUUCAUGAUCAUAUUCCAGAUGUCUUCGUCAACUUUUAUGUUUGGAGGAAGCUCAAAUUCAACUUGAAAAUGCAUGUGCCAAGAGGAAACAUUAUAGGUCAUUUUGGGCCAAUACCAUUGAACAAGUGAUUUUCCUCAACUUCUAAAAUGCAUAACUCCUUCAUGCCAAAUCCAAAUUAGUUCAAAUUUGUGAUCAAAUUGAAUAGGUUUGAAAGAGCUACAACUACAAUGAAGAAAAGUUUCUCAUUUGAAGUCCAUAGAAAUAUUUAUUCAAGAGGAAGAAGUGAACAUUUGACUUAGGACUUAGAAAAUUUUCAAAUAUGUUUGAUUUCCCAAACUUGCACCUCAAAAUUAAUCA
rnacentral:lncRNA from 1 species